rnacentral:lncRNA from 1 species
UUUUUUUAGGUGAAGUGAAGCCGGGAGGGGAGGGCCAAUCAUGUGUCGGGCCCAGCCCAAAAGGCAAUGCGACGCGAUCUCCGAUGCGGAAAAGAUGCGACGCGGAGCCGGACCCGGACCCAGUCAGAACUGCGUACCACCAACGCGACCCUGCCGCAAACAAACACGAGGGCCGGUGGGCCCCGCGCCCAUUCAAGCGCCACAAACGCCAAAGCCGGAGGAAAGAGAGCGCCAGAGAGCGGCUCGCUCUCCACCGGACGCCUCGAAGCCCGCGCACGCCGUCCACCGCUUUGUCUACUCGCCUCACGCUGCCCCACGGGCCCCGCGGCUUUCCGCCAGGUGGGACCCUGCCCCCUUCCAGUGCCUGACGCUGCGCUGUGGCCCCUCGCCGAUUUUCGUGGAAGUGGAAGUGGAAAUGGUUUCCAUCGAUUUCUUUUACGUGUGCUUAACUUUGGAAAUAUUAGUAAUUGGUUGAGAGCGCGAUAACUUUACUUGCACGAAUUAGUUAGGCCUUUUUUCCGGAAUAAUUCUGGCCGCGUUUUUCCCUGUGGUAAUAUUCUGGUUGAGUUGGCAAGGAAUAUAUGACAGGCCGAUUACGAUUAGAUCAGCCAAUGGAACGGAAUAAAAAUUGGAAUUAUACCUCCUUUUCUAGCGCCUUGUGGUAGGGAGGAAUGAGAACUUUCCUAGUCAAAAAGGGGCACAGAUUUCUCACCUAAAAAAGCAGGAUAUGUAGUAUCCUAUUCAAAAAUAAAGUAAAGUUGCUAAAUCUAAAUGAUGCAUUGCAUUUUAUUUCUUGUUUAUGAAAUAUAUAAAAUGCAACGAAUUGGAAUAAUUUCAUAGUUGGGCACCGCCUGGAAAGAGAGGGGGAAACUUCCUGCCGCCAAGAGAAUCCAACUGACAAGAGAGAGGAUAUAUAAUCCAAGUGCCAACAGAAUACAUAUCUGGAUCAAUCACAUCGCAUAUCUUAAUUUUGCCUCAGAUCCACGCGAGAUCUGACUCCCAAUGCUGUUAGAUCCAUGCAUCAACAAGGUAAUUGUGUUCUCCAAAUUUAGUAAUAUAAAUAAAUUACUAAUCACGUAAAUCAAGAUCCAGCAACAAAAUUACAGUGCAAAACAAGCAACACCAAACCGGUCAGGAUUAAGCAAGCAGGUCAGUUCUGAAAAGCGAAGCGAAUGUACGGGGGAACAUGAUAGCAGACCAUGUUCCAUCUCAACAAAGUGCAGAGCCUUUUUUCUUUACCGUUGCUAAUUUACAGUUCAGAUUUUGUGCCGAAGAAGUUCAGAAACUUUGUCGAGCAUUUGGAACGUGAUUAAUUUAAGUUUUCAGAUCGAAUCGGCACGAAAAUCGAGUAGAUAACACUAGAAAAAGCACACGGGCUCCAACACAUUGGAGUCAGGAGCACCAGACAAAGAAAGAACGCGACAAACAGGUACUGAAUCCAACGAGCACAAAUUACGGAUAAUUCAUAGCGGAGUUCAUCUCAUUCAAACGGUAAGAUAGCAGCAGACACAGGAAGAUAACCAAGGCCGCCGGACGCAGAUCCAGCGGCCCAAAGAGUCCACCUAAAACCCUCCUAAACCAACCACGGAGAUCUCAUCGGACGGACCAGGGGAAGACACGACACACGACUCUCUUAUUUAGAUCGACGACACGACACGGGACACACGGGGCGAUGACGACGACGGCGACCGGCGGGCGGGCGGAUCUAGAGCUGGCCGCAGUCGGCGAUGACGACCUGCUUGGAGCAGGUGCCGCUGCGGGAGCCCACCUUCUCGAUGUUCUUGACGACGUCCAUGCCCUCGACGACCUCGCCGAAGACCACGUGCUUGCCGUCGAGCCAAUUGCAGGGGACGGUGCAGAUGAAGAACUGGGAGCCGUUGGUGUUGGGCCCGGCGUUGGCCAUGGAGAGGAUCCCGGGCUUGGUGUGCUUGUGGACGAACUUCUCGUCGGCGAACUUCUCGCCGUAGAUGGACUCGCCUCCGGUGCCGUUGCCCCUGGUGAAGUCGCCGCCCUGGCACAUGAAGUCGGGGAUCACGCGGUGGAAGGCGCUGCCCUUGUAGUGCAGCGGCUUGCCGCUCUUGCCGACGCCCUUCUCGCCGGUGCAGAGCGCGCGGAAGUUCUCCACCGUCCGCGGCACCGCGUCCUUGUACAGCUCCAUCACGAUGCGCCCCGCCGGCGCGCCGCCGACGGUCAUGUCGAAGAACACCCUCGGGUUGGCCAUCUCGCUCGCCGGGAUCGGGGAUGAGGGCUAGGGUUUUGAGAUGGGGAUUUCUGUGCGGAUUGGAUUACCUUUGGCUUCGGGCUCUGUGAUCUGGCAAGCGGAGACCGGGUGCGAUUAAAUAGGCGGCGAGGCCCGGGGCGGGGGUAGCCCCAGCCGUCCGAUCGGGACGCGUGGCGGCAUCGGGGGGCGCCGGGGCUAACCGGGGAGGUUGGGCGGUGCGGUUCCGGGAACCGUGGUUAGGUCUAGGGUUGGGUUCCCGGUGGACGCGAGCAGCACGUGACCCAUUCCGACGCGAGGCUGUAUGACAUGUGGGGCCCGCGGAUGCCUGUCGCGGAGGGCGGCCUGCAGGGGUCCGUUGGUGUGGGGACCGGAAAUGUGGGCCCGGGGUGUCAUAAGGGGUGGGUGGACGCGGCGUCCGUGCGGAUUUUUAUUGGAUCUUUGUGGGGGUGACUAGGGUUGGGGCCAUGGUUACCCGGGGUGGUUGGGUCGGGACUAGGGUUGGGUUGGGAUACUCGCGCUUUUGGACUGCGCGCGGUCCACCAGGACCGGGUGGUGCGGCGCGCGUGAGGUCUCUGGGGAGAGUGUAUGGACCGGGUGCAGGGGAGGCUGUGGUGGGGACGAGCGGCGGAGAGAGGCCGUGGUGGGGAAGGGAUAUGCCGCCGCGCGAGUGGGCGAUAUUCUGUUCUGGCUUGGAUCGCACGCGGACUGCAUGUGCAACUGGCCCGGGACGAUUCCUUCCUGCCGGCCCAGUCCGCUCGGGUUCUGCGGCGGAGCGCCAACGGGCGGCUCAUCGGGACCGUCGAGCGUGGGUUUGGACGGCCGAGAUGCGCGUGGCGAGGGCUCUAGAAGCUUCCUUCUCAAUCUAGGGCCUGAUUGAACUGAGAUGCCUAUUUCUCUCUUCUUUUUCUGGGAGGUAAAAAUAAAAACUAUCUGGACAGAAAUAUAGAAUUUCCGUUUUUAGGUACAUACUUUAUUUUUUUGAAUCCUUGAGAUCAUGGCUGGAUUGUUGGAAUCUGCUAUGAUCAUGGACUACAUAAAUACUAAAUUUGAACUAUGACGUAACAACGAAAAAACAUAUAUACUCCAAGACAUCCAAGGCAUCUUAGUCUCUUUCUCACCAAAUCAUUUUACCUACCCCUCCAUUGCAAAAUAUUUGAAAUACUAUAUUCAUUCUAAGUUUAACUUCUCUGCUUUGACAAAGUCUAUAGAAAAAUAUGGUAAUAUCUACAAUAUCAAAUGUAGUGUACGAAAAUAUAUAUUACAAUGAAUGUAAUGAAACUAAUUUGGCGUUGUAGAGGUUGACAUAUUUUUCUACGCCCCCUCUCAUGAACAGUAACCACAAGAAGCAAAAUGGAAGGAUCCGCCAAAGGCCGGAUCAGCGGUCCCUCCCUCUUCGGUCAUAGUUGCAGCGGUGGGGGAGUGGAGGGAGCUUCGAUCCGUGUGGAAGAUGUCUAGAUACUAGGGUUAGGCUACUCGGCGGCACUAACAAGGUGGUGGUGGUGGCAGCGUCAAUAAUGGUGUAGGAGCUUGUUCCCCGUCUCAACAACAAGGUCACAUGUGGGUGGAUUCGCUGGCCUAAAUCCGUCCCAACUCGCAAAGCUGAGAAACCAGCCAACCGCCGCCUCAAAAAAUCUAGAGUUUUUUUGCCUCCCUCCGGCGCCGGCGCCGAUCCAUCCCGUCUCCGGUGGCCUGAGGGCCAUGAAGGCGGAGUGGAUCUCGGCCUUUGCCGGUGGGAGGACUCCGUUUUUAGAUAUUUUUUCGAGUUCUGUUAGGGUUUGUGUCCUGCUCAGGAAGGCGAGACGGCGGCGGCUCCCUGAAGAUGGAAUAAAGGUCUCCCCGCCUAGCUCCCGUUCCGGUGAUGCGUCUAGCAUCAUCGGUGGGCGUGUGGAGGUGUGUCUUCGGCGGAUAUGUCUUUGGUGGAUUUGCUCGGGAUCUGUUCGUUGUUCGUCUUCGUUUGUGUGUCUUCAGGUUGGAUCCUUUUGAUCUACACUCUUCAUCCGCGGCGGUUGUUGUUUUGGCGCGUUGGUUCUAUGGGGCCUUAGCACGAUGACUUCCUGACUGUCUACUACAAUAAGGUUUGCCCGGCUCCGGCGAGGGAGGGGCGAUGACAGUGGCGCACCUUCGGCUCGCUUCAGUGCUUGUAGUUGUCGCUAGGUCGUCUACGGAUCUGGAUGUAAUUUUUAUUAUUUCUAGUGUUCGUUGUACUACCAUGAUUGAAGAUGAAUAGAUUGAAAGUUUUCUCGAAAAAAAAACAAGGUCACAUGUGGCGUCAUCGACGAGCUUCUGACGUUGUUUGCUCCCUGAUCUGUCGAUUCGGUGGCCGAUGUGUUCUAUAGGCGUGGUCUUCGCAACGGAGGGACGCCGUACGGGGAGAGAUUUUGUCCCUCGCCCCUGUCUUCGCCAUGGCAAGUUUGAUCCUUAUCUUGUUGUGGGGUGUUGGGGGGUGGUGCUGGUGACUGUCGCCGGUGUUUUUCGCCACCCUUCAUGGACUUCAGAGUUGUGAUGUCGCUGACGUGGUGAAGUGAUGGUUAUCUCUCCUCUUCCUUUAAUGUGGUGGCUCUCUUGGGCCGGCGAUGAAAACUUCUCAUCCGUGUUCUAUCGAGCUGUGGAUUCCAAGGUCACACGGUCUCCAGGUGAGAGCGGUGACAAUGAUAACGGUAGCGCGUGGGCAACCCAUGGUGGAUUUAUCUCGUCGAAAGCUUGGAUCAUACGAGACCCCAGUCACCCCACCCCAUUUAGGGAGCAGAAGUUGGAUCGGUAGCCCUAUCGUCGCCUCCACCAUGGAUGGUAGUACGAAGACCGCACGGUUGACCACCAUUUCUUAUGCGUGAGCAGCAACAGACAACCCAUCAACGACAUAGCGCGAGUCGCCUUGCGGGGCAGAUCCAGGUGAAAGUCUCCUACCUAAGCUACUAUACACAAUAGAGACCCAAACUCCUCUCCCUCCACCACUCUGGGCGAUGAGGUCGCUGGAGGAAGAGGGGAGGGGUUUCGGAGGAACCAAGACGGCUCUCAAUGGUGGGAUGGGUAGAUGAGAGAGAAACGAGAGAGGAUAAAUGAGCCCCUGACAUGGGAACAUCACUGCAUCCAUUGUGUGGCAGCAUUUAUGCUUAUGCGGAGCUCUUACAAUUGAAGGAAGAAAUUGUGAUAAGUUCAAUCAUCCAUCACAUCAUAGAUCAUUCCCCACAUACACGGCUUCGGCCGAAAUGCCAUUUCGGUCAUGCUCGUCCAGACGUCUUUAUUCUGUCCAAGCGACAUGAUCUUGACAUAUACCAUUGCAACUACGAUUUGAAAGGCAUUGCAUUCGAUUCUCUUUUACGGCUCCUUUAUUCUCCAUGGUUGUUUUUGGAAUCUCAAUAUGCUUUGGAAAUUGUUCUUUCGGUGUUGAUUCUGUCCACAUGCAUCACAAAAACGGAUGUUCAUUGCCGAGAGAAUGCCAAAGGUGUGGCACAUGUGGUACAUUGUUCUCAUCUUUCUUGUUUUGUGGUCCGGCAUGCAAGCUGUGCAUGUACAAACAUGUGAUUGCAAUUGACAUCUUCAUCAAAUUGUAGUUUUGCACUCGAAAAAGGCCACCAUAACAGAAAGAAUUGCACGAGGAUGACUGGCACCUAUGCCACCGACCAUAGAGGUCCAUGGGCUUGUUAGUCGUUGCCACUUUAAUGUUGGCAAAACUUGAUUGUCGUUAGCCAUUACUAACACCGUGAAGCUCGUAACCAAAUAAAAUCUAUAGAAAAAACAUAAUCUUUAUCUUUUUAAAAAACACCUGUAAUUUUAUGCAUACUCAACAAUUACAGGUACACUGAUUUAGAUUUAAGAUAAAAAAAAUACAAAGUAACUCCUAUAACUAAGAUACAUGAAAUCUCUUGGAAACACUUUCUUCACGGUAUUAAUCUCUGUCAGAAGAAAUUCUUCAAAGACUUUGGUAAAUAUGCUGCAAUUGGACCGAAGCAACAAUGUUGUCCCUCUUUCACCCGCACAAACAUUAUCAAUAAUGGUUUUUGAAAGCGCUUUGAGUCACCCAUCCAAGAAGAUGGAAAGCCUUGAUUGAUGAACGUACUUGGGCCGGAGAUAAUCCCAUAGAAGUGCAGCUCGUUGAAUCAUGAUAUCUUCAUCAUGGUGUCGAUGAAAGAUUUUCACCUCCACAAAAAUGUUUGUGCUUUCAAUUUUUUGGGGAAAUUCAAAAUUGGCUCAUGCUUUUAAAAACUUAUUCAGCAUUUUAAAAAUUCAUUUUCAAUUUUUUUUAUAAAUUCAAAAAAUGUACAGGAUUUUCAAAAAAAUGUUUUUUGCUUUCUAGAAAUUGUUCUGAAUGUUAGAAUUCCUGUUGUUUACAAUUUUUUUCUCAAAACUCUAAUAAUGUUUGGAACUUUCAAAAAAGUUCAGGUUUUUCAAAAAUUGUUUGCGGUUUCCCAAAAUGUUUGAUUUAUUUAGAAAAUACUAGUGUUUUCAUAUUUUUUUGUAAAUUCCAAAAAUAUACGAGAAUUUCAGAAAAAUGCUAUUUUUUCUGUAAACUGUUCAGAAUGUUAAAAAUAUUCCUCUUUUCAAUUUUUUCUCAAAAGUCAAAAAAUGUUUGGGAAUUAUUUAAAAUGUUCGUGCUUUUGAAAAAUUGUUCAUAAUUUCCAAAAUGUUCCCAUUAACAAGUUUUGUUCUCUAAGUUCCAAAAUAUCUGCAUUUUUUCAUAAAAUAUUUAGGAUUUUGAAAAUGGUUCCUGUCAAAAAAGGCAAGGUUUUAAGAAAAAAAUAUUUUUCAAAGUUUGCUAGAGUUGGUGAAAUAAUUGCUGGAUUUUCAAACAUUACUUGCUUUUAAAAAAAUAUUCAUAAUUUCCAAGUUAAGAUGUAAAAUCCAAAAGCUGCCUGGAUUAUGUGUUGUAGUUAGUUCUUAAGGUGGUACGCUCCUCUUUAGCCAUGAAUCUCUUAUAGGUUGACUGGUUAGUAGUUACACUUUCUAAGGUGGAGGUGCCGUAGAAAAUGCAUAUAUCCAUCCAUCACCAAGAUAUCGAAAGGAGUGGUCAUGCAUAUGUUUUCCUGACCAAGAUAUCAAAGGGGUUUUCUUUUCCAGGUCGAGUUUGUUCACCUGCUUUGAAUAAUAUACGGAUGUAUGCGGUUAUCCUCCUUUUCAAAAGAAAUAAUGUUUCCCUUUUAUAUAUAACCAGGAGCGGAGGCAGGAUUGGACUAAGCCUUGAGAGCGGGUUUCAUAUAGGGUGUAUAACUGUAUAUACACACAUAGACCAAAAGUUCCCCUCCCACAUCAGGCCGAUUGCGAAGAGAGAGAGAGGGGAGAGACAUGGAACAGUCAACAGUGAAAUGAGGAACCUAAUGGAUGCCCGAUGGGGGCUGAAGGAGAGGAGGAAGCGGGAGGAGGAAACCUACAAUGGCCAAGACGAUCAAAGACCAGGCACCCCUGCCGGCCGGUGUAGACGAGCGAUCCUUUGCCAUGGCAUUGUCUGCGAAGCAUAUUUCCAUAGCGCAAGGUGCUGAACGGGAAAUGAGCAUCAAGUGGGAAAUAAACUAUGUCUCCGAGGUUCAGCAUUGACCAGCCCUUCUUCGUUGUCGCCGCCUGAUUUGCAAUCAGCACUUUCAUGUCUCCCGUUCCCCAUGUUCCACCAUCGCCAUGGCUGUGGCUGGCCCUUUCUCCUCCUCCUCCUCCUCCUCCUCCUGGGUUUCCCCUUUGAUGAAUCUUCUCUCUUGCGCGGAGAAGCAGCGGCCGCCGGUAGCCAUAGGGUCGUCCUCUACCCGGAGUCCGCGACGGUCUCGUCCAUCGUGAGCAGCAAGUACAGGACCGCCUUCCAUUUCCAGCCCCCCAAGAACUGGAUCAACGGUACAUAUGCGCUCAUCUCUACACCUUCUUUUGUGUUUCUCCCAUAUGUAAGUGCAGGUCCUAUCUUCCCCAUUUCUGCUGCGGUUUCCCUUUGAUUUGCUGCCUGAAAUGUGUCGCCGGACAUUUUGACUGCUAGUCUGAACCUUCACUUGAUUGCAUUGUAAAUUAAUGUUAUCGCCAAUGCGCUAGUGGUACCUGAUGAUGCCUCGCUUGUCUUUAUGGUCUGGAGAAGCUUACUUGUCAGAUAAUUUAGCUUCUUCACCUGCCUUCAGUUUUCCCCUUUGGCCUCUGCAAUGUCAGAAACAUAUUUGUAUAAGCAUUUAGGUCCUGGAUUCUAUAUCUAACAUUUCUUCAUCAUUGUUUCGCACGACAUGGAAAUCCUCGCCACGACGACCAUACAGAUCCAAAUGGUAUGUAACUAUGUAUGCAUUUGGGUUGAUUACUUGAAUAAAAUCAACCACAACUAGAGUAGUAGAUAAAUGUAAUGGAUGGCUGCAAUCAUCAGGACCUCUGUACUACAAGGGCUUGUACCAUCUCUUCUACCAGUACAACCCCGGCAGCGUUGUCCCAGGCAACAAGACCUGGGCUCACUCUGUCUCCACCGACCUCGUCAACUGGCUCCGGCUCGAGACGGCAUUGGACCGGACCGAGCCCUACGAUGCCAAGGGCUGCUGGUCCGGCUCAGUCACUGUCCUCGCCGAUGGCCGGCCAGCCAUCCUCUACACCGGCGCAGACGACGUGAAGAACCAAGCCCAAUGCAUCGCCUUCCCCAGUAACAGCUCCGACCCGUAUCUCAGGGAAUGGACCAAGCCCAGCAGCAACCCGGUGAUCCGUCCGGACGGGCCGGGCCUGAACCCAAGACAGUUCAGGGACCCGACGACCGGGUGGACCGGGCCGGACGGGCAGUGGAGGAUAGCAGUUGGGGCCGAGCUGGACGGCUACAGUGCGGCACUCUUGUACAAGAGUGAGGACUUUGUGAGUUGGAGCAGGGUUGAUCACCCGCUCUACUCCUCCAACUCAUCCACCAUGUGGGAGUGCCCCGACUUCUUCGCGGCGCUGCCUGGCAACACCAGCGGACUGGACCUCUCCGCGGCGAUCCCGAAUGGCGCCAAGCAUGUCCUCAAGAUGAGCCUAGAUUCCUGUGACAAGUACAUGGUUGGGGUAUAUGAUCUGGAAGCCGAUAAGUUUGUGCCGGAUAAUUUCGUGGACGAUAGGCGUCUGUGGCUGAGGAUCGACUACGGCAAUUACUUCGCGUCAAAGUCAUUCUUCGACGCCAAAAAGGGGAGGAGGAUCAUAUGGGGCUGGGCUAACGAGUCGGAUAGUUCGUCGGAUGAUGCCGCAAAAGGCUGGGCUGGGAUCCAGGUAAGUAAGGAAAACUGCCCCUGGUUCACUGUCACUGUCAAGUUUCAGGAACUAAUGAUUUUGAGUGGUUUAGCAGAUAUAUACCACUGUGACAUGUGUAUCCUCAUUUGUUAGGCGAUCCCCAGGACAAUAUGGUUAGAUAGCGAUGGCAAUCAGUUGCUGCAAUGGCCCGUUGAAGAGAUCGAGUCCCUUCGAAGAAACGAAAUUAGUCAUCAAGGAAUAGAGCUGAAAAAGGGUGACAUGUUUGAAAUUGAGGGGACUGAUACUUUGCAGGCUAGUUCCUUCUUUUUUUUCACACAGAUUCCUACUGCUUGAUAUUUUUACUUUAAAAGUGGCAUGUCAGAUAAAAAUCAGUUUGGUCUUAUGGUGAUUAACCAGACAUGAUUUUCUUGGAGUAGGCGGAUGUGGAGAUAGAGUUUGAGCCAGGAACCAUGGAUGAAGCUGAUGCUUUUGAUCCUUCCUGGCUCUUGGACACGGAGAAGCAUUGCAGGGAAGCAGAUGCAUCAGCUCCUGGUGGCCUGGGGCCAUUUGGGCUUGUGGUUCUAGCCUCCGAUGACAUGGAGGAGCACACUGCCGUGCAUUUCAGAGUCUACAAAUCAAAGCACAAGCACGUGAUUCUUAUGUGCUCUGACCUAAGAAGGUUAAUUUAAUUCCUAUGGAUUUACUUUUUUGUCUUUCUUGUAUGUUCUCUACAAUACUCACAGAAAUUGAUACUAUAUCAGAAAAUUUUCACUCUCUGUUCUACAUUGCAUCAAUAUAAGCAAGAGAGUUCAGUUUCGAAAUUAAAAAAAAUAUAAGCAAGAGAGUUACCUUUUUUCCUUGUAUACAGGUCGUCCCUGAGAUCAGGGCUGUACACGCCGGCCUAUGGAGGCUUCUUCGAAUUUGACAUUGAAAAGGAAAGGAAGAUAUCUUUGAGAACAUUGGUUAGGCCUUGGGACUUCUUUCUCCCCAUGCACUCAUAUCACUAGUGUGAUAAUUGGACAGAGAUGCUCUAACAGCCAUGGGUCUCCCGUGCAGAUCGAUCGUUCUGCAGUGGAGAGCUUUGGUGGUGGCGGCAGGGUCUGCAUCAUGGCUAGGGUCUACCCGGUUGCGCUGGUCGACGACAGAGGCGCUCGUAUGUAUGCUUUUAACAAUGGCACGACCACGGUCAUGGUGUCACAGCUCAAGGCAUGGAGCAUGAGAAGGGCACAUAUGAAUGUGAAGAAGGGAUGAAGUACUUGCCCAACAGAGCAAAGGCUAAUAGGCAGUGGUGCGAAAAUGUUACUUGAUUAAUGUGCAUUGCAUGAAGCAGAGUGGAAUGUGGACUACUUGCUACUACCUCCAUAAAUGUAUUUAGGAAUGGAGGUAGUAGUUACUAGUCAUAUUGUUAUGGUGCAAAAAUAUGGUUGCGUGCAUUGCAUGAAGCAGAGGCUGGGAGGAUGAUCUUUUCAUUGUCUAAAAAAAUCAUGUGAAGAAACAAUUGUACUUGUUCUGUUGUCAAAUCUGCAAAGGCGUUCUUACGAUCUAGCACUGGUGCUAGGCAUUUAUAUGCUGUUUGAGUUGACCUAUUGCUCAUAUUGUAUGCGACAAACACGGUUGAUCCACUCCAAGUACAUGUAUCUUGGAAUAUUAUGUUUGGAGAAAAUGAGAAAAAUACUCACUUCUUUUACUCUGCAUCACUCUGCUUGUAGGAUGAUCAGGGGAUGAUAAACUCCAGUUGUACAUCCCAUAUACUGUUCUCUAAUAAUUCCUGAGCUUGCACCUUCUUCUAUUCAUACUUCCCUGUUGCUAUAUACUGGAGAUGGAGGUAAGUGAGAAUGCAAGAAAUUGACCUGGUGCUCAUGAAGAAAAAUAUUAAACUAACGAGUUGUAAUUCGAUCAUUUCUUCCUUUUCCUGAGAACUAAACAAACAGAGAAGUUCGAUGUGAAUUUCACUCUUGGUCUCCAUACAAAGAGCUACUUCAUUAAAAAAAAUAUUCUACUGGAGUGCACAAUAGGAAGAUGUGUUUCUGAAGAGUGAAUUGCUAGAAACCACCACAUUUGGGGCUUAUCUUGCAGAAAACAACAUGGUCGCUAAUCAUUUGCAAAAGCCACCGCAGAUUCAGUAACAGUUUUGCAGAUUGCACUGAACAUGUCAUUUGGCUCGGUUGAGGGCGUUUCCGACAGGUGGGGCCCAAAAUCGCUGGCGUGUCCUAACGGACGCGCGGACGGCGCCGUUUGCUUAAGACAGACGCGGUCGGGUCGCCAGAGACAGACCGCCCGCGCCCGACCACAUCUGUCUCGAUUUCUCUGCUCUCACGCUCGCUCUCUCUGCUCCCACGCUCGCUCGCUCCCCUCCCAUUUGCUCCUCUCCUCUCCGGUCGCCGCCGGCCGCCGUCCGCCAUGGUGUCCUGGACCGACAGUGAGAGCACUGACGGCUCCGCCGCGUAGUACAUCUCCUCCGACGACUCCCCUCUCAAAGUCAGAACAUUGUAUUCCUCAUUUGUGUUCUAGGGUUGAACAUUUGCUCGAUUUGGACACGUUUUUGUUGGAUUUCUCAGAUCCCAGCUACAAUUGAUGAGCCAUCGUUCGAGGGUCUUGCUGACGACUUGAAUGUGAUUUGUGAGCAUGGGAAUCCAGGGAGGAAGUAUGUUGCAUUUGAGGGGAUAAGCACCGGUAGGAGGUUCAUUGCUUGUGCCACUGAAGUAAGUUUUAAGUUGUGUUUGCAGCAUUCCAAUUCUUGUUCUAGGGUUUGUAGUAACAGUUCCUGUUCUAGGGUUCAUAGUUACUGUUCAUGUUCUAGGGUUCAUAGUUACUGCUCAUGUUCUAGGGUUUAUAGUUACUGAAUUUAGUUCUAGGGUUCAUAGGUAGUGUUCUUAGCUGUAGUUUUCAUAAUUAUUCAUCAUUAAAUGAAUGUGAUUCUGGUACAUUAACUGAAUCAGCUAUUUAACUGAAUCUGUAAGUAAUGUCUGUAAUUUUUGAACUGAUUUUUUUAUUGUAGGGUGUUGCAAAUUGUGGAUUAGUGCAGUGGGUAGAUGAGCAUUGGCCAGAGCAUCUGCAGAAUGCUAUUCAUAAGCUCUGGCUUAUGUAUGAGCAUAGCCAGCAUGAAAACAGGACGGCAUGCCUGGAGUAUUCAAGCACUGUACACAAUCUCACACAGCAGAAAAAAGAGUUGCAGGAGACAUAUGAGAAGCUUGUUGAAGAUGUGAACAACCUCUUGGAUUAUAAGGAUAGCCAGCCUGAGGUAAACCAGAAGAAUGAUGCUGACAACAUUUCAGUUAGUGUGGAAAGCAGCAUGACAAAGGAUGCUGAGAUCAAAAAAUUAAAGGCUGUUGUUGACCAGUUAAAGCAAAUUCAUGUAGCUCAAGCCACUGUCAUUAGGAAUUUGAAGUUCAACCAUCUUAAGGAGAAGGAAAAGUUGAGCUCUGAUAAGAAGACUUUGGAGAUUUGUUAUGCUGACCUGAAGAAAGAGAAGGAUGACCUGAAGAAAGAGAAGGAUAAGCUGGAUUGUUGCAUUGCUGAGCUGAUGAAAGUGAAGGAGAAGUUGACCAUGGAGAAGAGUACUCUUGCUUCCUGCAUUGUUGAGCUCAAGACAGCAAGUGAUAGCAACAAGAGGAAGCUUCACCAGAUUAAGGCUAUUUGUGAUGAGGACUAAUUUAUGUUGCUGUCUGACCAUGUGUGUCAAUGAUGUCUUUUGUAGUAGCUAUGAAGGAAAGCUGUAAUCUAUUAAGCUUUAUUAUGGUGAACUCUAUUAUUUCUGUAGCAAUGAACCUUGGAUUGUAUGUUGUUUGUGAGAGUACUAUGUUUGUGAUGAAUUAUCAGCUUGUAUUAAGUUCAGUUUGUGAUGAAUUAACAGCUUGGAUUAUAGCAAGUAGAUAGUGAACAUAGAUAGCAAGUUCAUAGUGCAUAGAUAGUCUGACAUAGAUAGUGGCAUACUAACAUAGAUAAUAGCUGCAUAGAUAGUCUGAUAUAGAUAGUGGCAUACUAACAUAGAUAGUCUUACAUAGAUAGUAGCAUACUAACAUAGAUAGUAGCUGCAUAGAUACAACUGACAUAGAUAGAACUGGCAAACUAACAUACUGACGAAACUGAAAUUUUACUUCUUCUGACGAAACUGAACUUUUUCUUCUUCUGACGAAACUGAAGACAGCAUGUCACUCCUCCUUCUUCAGCAUUUUCAGGCGUAGGGAGCGCCGCACGUCAUUGUUGUUCACCGCCGCCCUCUUCUUCUUGGCUGGCGCUGGCUCCACCACAUCUUCACCGCCGCCCUCCUCUUCUUGCUUCACGACGACGAGCUCUGGGUUGUCGGCAUCCUCCGGCAGCUUAUCCACAUCAAUUGGGAUGUUCUUCUGCCCCUCGACGGCGUGGAGGACGGGCGCUAGGAGCUGCACAUCAGGCUCGUCGGAGGAGGAGUCGGAGGAGAGUACGACGACCUCGUCCACCUCGUCGUCAGAGGAGUAGCCGUCAGAUUCGUCAGAGUCGUAGUCAUCAGAGGACUCGGACUUGGCGUCGGAGUCGUCGUCUGGCCCGAGCACCCAUGGAUUGCGCCUCUCCUAGUAGGCGUUGUUGAUGGGGGCUGGGAGAGCGAGGACGGCGUCGGUGAUGUCAUCCGCGGCGGUCGGCGGCGUGGUGGAUGAGCGGUACAUCCACCAACGGGCGCGCUGCCCGGGGUCGGGGGAGCGAUGCACCUCGCGCAUCGCCCACAGGAGAAUGGUCGCCGGCGGGACGGUGCAGCCGGCAGGGAAUGCACGCUGCCUUUCAGCAGGUGUCAUCACCUUCACCAGGCCGCGGGCAUGGUUCCUCAGCAUCGCCGCACUGGGGAACCAACGCGCGAUCUCCCUGUACUGCGCGCACAGCUCGCGGUUGUUGCCGGCGAGCUCUUCGAUGGCCAGCUGCCAGUCCAUGGCGACGGGGGUGGGGGUGGCUGUCAGCGGUGGUUUCGACGGGAGAGAGGGGGAAGAGGAGUGGGCGGUGCGGGCGGCGAGUGGGCGAGUGAUCGAAGAGAGCGGUAGGUGGACACGUAUUAAAGGCAGAAACCGAAACGACUAGUUAUACUAAAUAGACGUUCACCAUGCUGGCGGCCUCAACGCACUCUCAACACAGUGCGUGCCUAACUAAAUAUAAGUAAAAUUGCGGAUGCUACUAAAACAACAUCACUAGCACUAUCCUAUUGGUAUUGAACCCCUGGUUACUACCCACUGGUCCUCGGUUCGAUCCCCAGCAGGCCAAACUAUUUUUGUGCAAUUUUUUUGGAUUUACAAAAUUAAUAUGUCAGUAACUUCUUACGGUUUUUAUUUUUGUUCAAUUUUUUGGAUUUAAAAAAUUAAUAUGUCAGUAACUUCUUAGGGUUUUUUCGACUCCGAGGCACCCUAAAUGCCCAAGUGGAGACAUUAUAGGUUUUGUCGACGCCGAGGAACCCUAAAUGCCCAAGUGGAGACAUUUUGGGUUUUGUCCAUGCCAAGGCACCCUAAAUGCUCAAGUGGAGACAUUUUGGGUUUUGUCGAUGCCGAGGCACCCUAAAUGCCCAAGUGGAGACAUUUUAGGUUUUUUCGACUCCGAGGCACCUUAAAUGCCCAAGUGGAGACAUUUUAGGUUUUGUCGACACCGAGGCACCAUAAAUGCCCAAGUGGAGACAUUUUGGGUUUUGUCGACGCCGACGCCGAGGCACCCAACUUGUUGCAACACAUCAUAACACAUCAUAUCAACAACAUGAAAACUAAGAUCAUCAUCAUAUCAAUAAUGAAACUAUGCUCAUCAUCACAACAACAGAAUGAAAACUUGUUGCAAAACAUCAUAACUAAUAAGUUCAUCAUCACAUCAUCAUAACCAGAGUAUCAUAGUGCAUCACAACCAUUAGGUACAUUACAUAGUCCACCACUUGGACUUGAACUAACUGGUUUCAACAUGAAAUUCUUAAUAUUCUUCAUCACAAACUAGCCAAAAAAGGCUGAAUUAAACAUGUUUCAACAUUACAUCACUUCUUGCUGCCUUGAGAACAAUUGAACCAUUCAGACAUCUUGUAUGAUGGCUUUCUCACUCUUCCAGUACCUGACAGUCUUGGUGGUAUGAAUGUUUUCUUUCCCCUUGACCUAGCAGCAGUAGCAGAAGAUGAACUAGGCCUAUCAGCAGUAGCAGAAGAUGAACUUGGCCUUGUUGGAGUAGGAGCAGAAGGAGCUGCCCUAGGUACAGCCCUAGUUGCAGUCCUAGCUGCAGCUGGAGCUCUAGCCCUUGCUGCUGGUGGAGCUGUCUGUAACACCCCGGAUAUGACUUUCCCAAUAUGUAUUCCAACUCUUGCCGUUUCCGGCUUUAAGUUAUUUUAUUUUCUCGGGUUCGGGUCUUUGUCUUCGUGUGUUGUUAUCGUUGUCAUGCAUCUCAUAUCAUGUCAUCAUGUGCAUUGCAUUUGCAUACAUGUUCAUAUCAUGCAUUCGAGCUUUUUCCCCGUUGUCCGUUUUGCAUUCCGGCGCUUCGUUCUCCUCCGGUGGUCAUUUCUACUUUUCUUUCGUGUGUGGGGUUUAAACAUUUCCGGAUUGGACCGAGACUUGCCAAGCGGCCUUGGUUUACUACCGGUAGACCGCCUGUCAAGUUUUGUAUCAUUUGGACUUCGUUUGAUACUCCAAUGGUUAACUGAGGGACCGAAAAGGCCUCGUAUGUGUUGCAGCCCAACACCCCUCCAAUUUGGCCCAAAACCCACCAUAACCCUCUCCAUCAUCUAGAGCGUUCGAUCACGAUCGCGUGGCCGAAAACCGCACCUCAUUUGGACUCUCCUAGCUCCUCCUAUGUAUAAAUAGGCAUCUCCCCCGAAAUUCCCGGAUCAAACCACCCUAACCCUAGCGUUCGUCCUCCUCCCGCCGCCGGACACGUCCGCGCCGCCGCACCCAGCUUGUCACCGCGCGCCACGUGGCAGGCCGUCCCCGCCGCCGCCGCGAAGGCCCACCGGCCCGAAGCCGGCCCUCCCCGCGAAUCGCUCGGGCCAGAGGCGCCCUCCCCGCGAGCCGUUGUCUUCCUCCUCCACGGCGCCCGACCGCCGCCUUCCUCCGCCCGGCGCCCCGCCUCUCGCCGGCAAGCCGCACUCCGGCGAGCCUCCGCACCACCCGACGACCUCGUCCGCCGCCCCUCCGCCUCGCCGUUCCACCGCACCACGCCGCCCCGGCAAGCUCCCUCAUCGACCGGCCUCUCCUCCCCUCAAGUCCCUCUCCGACCUCCUCCACAACGACGUCUCCGGCGAAGCUCCAGCGACCUCGACAUCCGUGCAUGAACAGUACCCCCAGCCAGAUCUAGAUCUGAGAAAAUUGGGACGGUUGACUUUUUUUCUUGAAACCUUAAUUUUUUGCUCCUGUUCAUCAUGUCGUAACUCCUCAUCUGUAACUCCGUUUUGGGCAUAUAGCAUAUCAAAUGUUCGUCUCAGAGAGCACAUCAUUUAAUCUCAUUGCAUCAUUUUCAUUUGAGUUCAUCUGGAUGCCCGAAAUGUUGUUAGAAGAGUGCUACUUGAGUUAAUUGUCAGAUCUGCUGCUCCAUUUAGAUAUUUGUCAUUUUUGCCAUGAUUAUUGUGUGCAUGAUAUGCCCAUGAGCUCUACAUAUGUUUUGUUAAGGGUUUUGCCAUCUUUCCAGAGGUGCAACCCAUGUAUUUUUGUGAUGUGUGUGGUGACUAGCACAAGCUUGCAAAGUGAGGCACUUGGUAAUGCUGAUUUCAGGGACUUAGCAUUUCCACUAAGUCCUUGAGCUGUUUAUCUCAUAUGGUCAUAUGUUCAUGUUGUUUCCUAGUGAUCCGUGCCUCUUUUGAGGAUGAUCAGUAAGGAUGUUUUGUUAAUAUUGUAGUGCUCUAUCCAUCCAUGUCUUUGUUUGCAAUUAUGGAGCACCCUAGCUUGAGUCAAUCGAGCUCUACUUUUGCUACUUCGUGAAUCUGGGCAGAUUGUCUACUUGUUAGCGAUUUUGCCGAUGAUGUUGUAGUUGAUCCGUGCAUUUUUGCCAUGCUUGUUUGAACCUGUUAGUGGAUGAAUUGGCCGUAGCUCAGUGCUAGACUUUUGUUAAGCAUCUUGAGUGAAUCCCUGCCAUGUAUUUUUAUGCCAUGUUUGGGUGUUGUAGCAUGUUCAUCUCAUUGCACUUAGAUGGCUACUUGCUGUAAAUCGCAGAACGUGGCCAUAUUUGAAUUGCUUGCCAUUUCCAAACCGUAACUCCGAUUCCGGCGUUCUUUAUAUCGUUUUAAAGCGAUUUCAUCUCAUAUUUCCAGUGGCACACUUGGAUUUCCAAGUUGAGGCCAGGUUCAUGCAUUCCUUGUCACAUCUUGCAUAUGCAUCCCGCAUCGCAUCCUGCAUAAUAUACCAUCCUUGCAUCAUAUUGUUUGAGCUUUGCACGUGGUUGAUUGUGUUCCGUUUGCUUGUUUGUCUUGUUUGGGUAGAGCCGGGAGACGAGUUCACUAACGAGGAGCCCGUUGAGUUUGCUUUUGAGGAUCCAGUCAACUCUGACAACUUUGCAGGCAAGAUGAUCAUACCCUCGAAAUCACUACUAUCUUUGCUAUGCUAGAUGCUCGCUCUUUUGCUAUGCCAAUGCUACGAUGCCUACCACUUGCUUUCAAGCCUCCCAAAUUGCCAUGUCGACCUCUAACCCACCAUGUCCUAGCAAACCGUUGAUUGGCUAUGUUACCGCUUUGCUCAGCCCCUCUUAUAGCGUUGCUAGUUUCAGGUGAAGAUUGGAGACCGUUCCUUGUUGGAACAUUAUUUACUUGUUGGGAUAUCAUUAUAUUAUCUUGUUAUCUUAAUGCAUCUAUAUACUUGGUAAAGGGUGGAAGGCUCGGCCUCACGCCUAGUAUUUUGUUCCACUCUUGCCGCCCUAGUUUCCGUCAUAUCGGUGUUAUGUUCCCGGAUUUUGCGUUCCUUACGCGGUUGGGUUAUAAUGGGAACCCCUUGACAGUCCGUUUUGAAUAAAACUCCUCCAGCAAUGCCCAACCUUGGUUUUACCAUUUGCCACCUAGCCUUUUCCCUUGGGUUUGACUCAAGGGUCAUCUUAUUUUAAACCCCCCGGGCCAGUGCUCCUCUGAGUGUUGGUCCAACCUAGAGCACCAUGCGGGGCCGUCCCUUGGCAACCUGGGUUACGUUGGCUCCCGUAUGCUUAGCUUAUCCGGUGUGCCUUGAGAACGAGAUAUGUGCAGCUCCUAUCGGGAUUUGUCGGCACAGCGGGUGGUGUUGCUGGAUUUGUUUUACCAUUGUCGGAGUUGUCUUGAAGAACCGGUAUACCGAGUCUGAUCGGAACGUCUCGGGAGGAGGUCUAUUCCUUCGUUGACCGUGAGAGCUUGUCAUGGGCUAAGUUGGGACUCCCUUGCAGGGAUUUGAACUUUCGAAAGCCAUGCCCGCGGUUAUGGGCAGAUGGGAAUUUGUUAAUGUCCGGUUGUAGAUAACUUGAACCUUAACUUAAUUAAAAUGAAUCAACAGUUUGAGUUACCGUGAUGGUCUCUUCUCGGCGGAGUCCGGGAAGUGAACACGGUGUUGGAGUAAUGCUUGCCGCAAGUUGUCCUCUAGUUUCUCGCUCACGCUUUGCCUCCUCUUCUCGCUCUCUUUUGCGAACAAGAUAGCCACCAUAUUUGCUAGUCGCCUGCUGCAGCUCCUCAUAUUUACCUUGCCUUACCUAUUAAGCUUAAAUAGUCUUGAUCGCGAGGGUGCGAGAUUGCUGAGUCCCUAUGGCUCACAGAUUACUAUUACACCAGAUGCAGGGCCUGAUGAUUCCGCUCCAGGUGACGCGCUUGAGCUCAAGUGGGAGUUCGACGAGGACUCUCAACGAUACUAUGUUUCCUUUCCUGAUGAUCAGUAGUGGUACCCUGUUGGGGACGAUCGGGACCGUGUCGCAUGUUGGGUUAUCUUUUAUUUUGGCGCCGUAGUCGGGCCAUGAGUGUUUGAAUGAUGUAAUGUUAUUCAUGUACCUUGAUUGACGUGGCGAGUGUAAGCCAACUAUGUUAUCUCCCCUUUUAUUAUCUAUAUAUUACAUGGGAUGUUGUGAAGAUUGCCUAACUUGCGACAUAUGCCUUCAAUGUGAUUAUGCCUCUAAGUCGUGCCUCGACACGUGGGAGAUAUAGUCGCAUCGAGGGUGUUACAAGUUGGUAUCAGAGCCUUCCCCGACCUUAGGAGCCCCAUUGAUUGAUCAUUUUUAGCGGCCGGGUUGUGUCUAGAAAAAUGUUUUGAGUCAUUUAGGAAUUAUAUAUCAGAGAGUUUAGGAAUUCUUUUUUACUUCCCAGUCUCCUCAUCGCUCUGGUAAGGCAUCCUGACGUAGAGUUUUGACUCUUCUCUUCUCAAAUUUCACUAAUUUAUUUUUAGGAUCACGCGGGUAUCUUGGAAUCGUUCCGAUGGUUUUAUGACGAGAACAUUGUCUUGGUGCCUCUUGUCAGGGGUUUUGUGGAAGUGUCCCAGGGAGUUGAGCUCUGAGGUGUUGUCGUCAUAAUUUUAUCGUUGCAAUUAUGGAAUACCUGAGUUUAGUACGCCAACAUCGAAAAUCUCUUUUAUGCAGUUCAUUGGUGAGAUAACCUCGACGCCACCCAGUACUGGGGCGGGAGUUCGGGAGUAUCGCCAUAACUUGUAUAACGGAUGCUUUUCGAAGGUUGAGGUAGAUGGUUUCCGAAGUUUUUCUCGGUUAUGUGUUGAAGGAUGGAUACAGCUGGAUGUAGGAUUUGCUAGAUUUGGGUGAGAUAUUAUGCUUCCCCUGUAUCCCCAACACCUGAUUGCAUAACCGGAAAGGUUCGGGAGUUUCAUAGGUGGGAAUUCUCGUAGCUCUAGUUCUUCUUCCACGGAUAUUUGGUUUGAGAUUGGGAUUUCUUACCGAUUAUUCGUUCUUGAUCCGUACCUUGUUGAUUUAUUUCUCUACCUAAAUUCUACGUGGCUUCUCAAUUUAUGGAUAUGUGACCAUUUCAAGAGGAAUGCAUUCAUUCAUUUUGUUCGGAUGUGAAGACUAUAUGUUGCAAUUUUCAUUCCGUUGGAUUCAGCUUCAUUUAUCUGUCUAUGUGCUAACGGUGGUCAACCUCUUCAGGAUGGCUCCCGCUAAGAGCACCAAUCAGAAUCAGAAUCAAGAUCCGCCACCACCUUCACCUCCUCCGGAGGCAUGGCAAGCUGUGAUGGCCACAACCAAUGCAAACACACAGUUGAUCAUGCAAAUUCUUCAAGAGCGCAAUCAAGGCAACCAAGGGAACCAAGGCAACAAUCAGAAUCACUUUGCUACACUCAACCAGUUCCUUGCUAACGGGCCAAAGACUUUCAGCAAUUGUGUUGAGGCAACCGAUGCUGACGAUUGGCUCGUGGAUCUGUGCAAGCAUUUCGAGUGCAGUAACGUCAGGCCUGAGGACUUUGUCAAGUUCGCUUCUUUCCAACUCAAAGAUCAAGCUGCAGAAUGGUUCCAGCAGUACAAGGAUUCCAGAGGUGGACGUGCGAUUACUUGGGAUGAAUUCCGUCAAGAUUUCAGAGCUCACCAUAUCCCUCAGAGCAUGGUUGAAAGCAAGCGUGAGGAAUUCCGCAACCUGAAGCAAGGCUCUUUGUCUGUCUAUGACUACAACAAGUUGUUUUAGAAGCUCGCCCGCUUUGCCAAGCAGGACGUCCCUGAUGAGAAGAGCAUGAUAUACCAGUUCAGGGGUGAUCUCAGAGAAGAAAUCCAGCUAGCUCUUGUUCUCUUUGAGCCCUUGAGAUACGAUGAGUUCUACAACAUGGCACUGAAGCAAGAGGCCGCUCAAUUGAGGUGUGAUGCUUCCAAGAAGCGAGUCAGAGAUGCUACUCCUUCUUCCUCUACUCAAGUGGCCAAGCAGCAGAAGUAUUGGCUUCCUCCUCCUCCGUUCCGUCAGCCGUAUCAGCAGAAGAGCAAAGGUGGCAGUGGAUCUUCCCACCCACCCAACCCUGGCUUUCAGAACAAGACUUUGUCUCAAGCUCCAAGAUCGAGUGCUCUGUACCACCGUCCGCUUUCAGAGGUCACGUGCAACAAGUGCCAACAAAAGGGUCACUAUGCCAACAAGUGCUUCAACCAGAGGCGUCUCCCUCCUCCUCCUCCUAUGAGAUCAGCAAGUAUAGCUGUGGUCAAGCAUAACCCCAAGAACGCCAAGGUCAACUUGCUGAAUGCAGCUCAGGCAGAGGACUCAUCAGAUGUCAUCAUGGGUAACUUUCCAGUUAACUCUUUCCCGCAAAAGUUCUUUUUGACACUGGUGCAUCGCAUUGUUUCAUGUCAAGAUCAUUUGUUUCCAAGCAUGACUUCAUUUCACAAAUGUUGGGUAAACCUAUGGGAGUGGUUUCUCCGGCUAAGUCUAUGAGGGCUACUUCAAUAGUCCCGGAUAUUUCUAUCAUGAUGGGUGAUUUUAAGUUUCUGGCUUCCCCAAUGGUUCUUGGUAACUCGGAUAUUGAUCUUAUUCUCGGGAUGGAUUGGCUUUCUAAGCACAAGGCUCAGCUUGAUUGUGCAGCCAGGCAGAUUCAAUUGACUCAUUCGUCUGAGGAUGUAAUUGUCUUUGCCGCGAAUGACGAUACCAUCCGUCUAUUUUCUCUCAAUGAGAAGGGUGAACUGGAUGCUAUCUCGCAAAUUCCAGUCGUUUGCGAAUAUCAAGACGUAUUUCCAGAAGAGCUUCCAGGAAUGCCUCCGCACCGGCCAGUUGAAUUCGUUAUUGAUCUUGAGCCCGGUACGGAACCUGUGUGCAAGCGUCCUUACAAGCUCGGACUUGAAGAGUUGAAGGAGCUGAAGAAGCAACUCGAUAUUCAAGAGAUAAUGGGUCUCAUCCGGCCUAGUUCUUCUCCGUGGGGUUGUGGUGUUCUUUUUGUGAAGAAGAAGGAUGGAACGGACCGACUUUGUGUUGAUUACCGUCCAUUGAACAAGAAGACCAUCAAGAACAAAUAUCCACUUCCCAACAUCAACGAGAUGUUCGAACAACUCAAAGGUGCCCAAGUAUUCUCCAAGCUUGAUCUCCGUAUGGGUUAUCAUCAGAUUCGAAUCCGUGAGCAAGAUAUUCCCAAGACGGCUUUUAGAACAAGCUAUGGUUCAUAUGAAUACACUGUCAUGUCUUUUGGCCUCGUCAACGCUCCUCCGACGUUCUCUCGCAUGAUGAACUUCAUCUUCAACGCCUACACCAAUGACUUCGUUUUGGUCUAUCUCGACGACAUUCUGGUUUUCUCGAAGAACAAGGAAGAUCAUUCCAAGCACUUGCGUUUGGUACUCGAUAAGUUGAGGGAACAUCAGUUCUACGCCAAGUUCUCCAAGUGCGAAUUUUGGCUCGAUGAGGUUCUUUAUCUUGGUCAUAUCAUCUCUGCCAAGGGCAUUGCGGUGAAUCCUGAGAAGGUGUCUGCAAUUGUGAAUUGGGAACCUCCUCAGAACGUGAAGCAACUCUGUAGCUUCCUCGGUCUCGCAAGCUAUUGCCGAAGAUUUGUUGAAAACUUUUCUAAGAUCGCGAAGCCUCUCUCAAAUCUUCUCCAGAAGCACGUCAAGUACGUUUGGUCUCCGGAGUGUGACAUUGCUUUCAACACUUUGAAAGAGAAAUUGGUCACUGCUCCAGUUCUGACCCCGCCUAAUGAAUCCAAACCGUAUGAGGUCUUUUGUGAUGCCUCUCUCCAAGGUCUUGGCGCAGUGUUGAUGCAAGAGAAGAAAGUUGUUGCUUAUACCUCUCGCCAGUUGAAGCCCAAUGAGAAGAACUACCCCACUCAUGAUCUCGAGUUGGCGGCAGUUGUGCAUGCUCUUUUGACUUGGAGACAUCUCUUAUUGGGAAGAAAAGUGGACAUCUUCACUGACCACAAGAGUCUCAAGUACAUCUUCACUCAGCCUAAUCUCAACCUCAGGCAGACUCGAUGGGUCGAAAUUAUUCAAGAGUAUAAUCUGAGUAUCGAGUAUACUCCAGGCAAGGCCAAUGUGAUUGCUGACGCAUUGAGCAGAAAGGCUUAUUGCAACAGUCUGAUUCUCAAGCCUUAUCAACCCGAGCUUUGUGAAGCUUUCCGCAAACUUAAUCUGCAAGUUGUUCCUCAAGGUUUCCUCGCCAACCUUCAAGUCUCUCCUACCUUGGAAGACCAGAUUCGCCAAGCCCAGCUUCUUGAUGCUAUGGUGAAAAAGGUGAAGGUUGGGAUUGCCAAGAGUCAACCCAAGUACAAGUGCUACCGCCUUGAUGACAAGGACACUCUCUUCUUCGAGGAUUGUAUUGUUGUACCCAAAGGUGACCUCCGUAAAGUGAUCAUGAACGAGGCUCACAAUUCUCUCCUCUCCAUCCACCCUGGGAGCAUGAAGAUGUAUCAGGACCUCAAGCAGGCUUAUUGGUGGACUCGAAUGAAGCGCGAGAUUGCUCAGUUCAUGAAUGAGUGCGAUGUCUGUAGAAGAGUGAAGGCAGAACACCAAAGGCCAGCUGGUCUCCUCCAACCUCUUGCCAUUCCAGAAUGGAAGUUUGACCACAUUGAGAUGGACUCCGUGACUGGGUUUCCAAAGUCCAAGCGUGGCAAUGAUGCUAUAUUCGUUGUCAUCGACAAACUCACCAAAGUGGCUCAUUUUCUGUCUAUCAAAGAGUCAAUCACUGCAGCUCAAUUGGCGGAACUCUAUACCUCUCGAAUUGUCUCUCUGCACGGUAUUCCUCAAGUGAUCUCUUCAGACCGUGGCAGCAUCUUUACCUCCAAGUUUUGGGAUUCUUUUCAUAAGGCCAUGGGCACCACCAUCCGCUUCAGCACAGCUUUCCAUCCUCAAACUAGCGGUCAAGUCGAGCGUGUCAAUCAGAUUCUUGAAGAUAUGCUCAGGGCUUGUGUGAUCUCCUUCGGCAUAAAGUGGGAGGAUUGUCUUCCUUAUGCUGAAUUCUCCUACAACAACAGUUUUCAAGCAAGUUUGGGCAAGGCCCCAUUUGAAAUUCUGUAUGGCAGGAAGUGCCGUACCCCUCUCAACUGGUCUAAAACUGAUGAACGUCAGCUUUUGGGUAAUGACUUAAUCACAGAGGCAGAGGAAAUGUGCAAAGUCAUUCGAGAUAACCUCAAAGCAGCCCAAUCCCGCCAGAAGAGCUACUAUGACAGUAAGCACCGUGAUUUGGCUUUCGAGAUCGGAGAUCAUGUUUACCUCCACGUCUCUCCUAUGAAAGGUACUCACCGCUUCGGUAUCAAAGGGAAGCUUGCCCCUAGAUACGUGGGACCUUUCAAGAUUGUCAGCAAGAGAGGCGAUCUCGCCUAACAACUCGCUUCCUUCAAACUUUGCAAAUGUUCAUGAUGUGUUCCAUGUCUCUCAGCUCCGAAAGUGCUUCAAGACUCCUGACCGCACCGUCAACUUCGAGGACAUUGAGCUCUAAGAAGAUCUCUCCUACCGUGAGCACCCCGUGGCUAUUCUUGAAGAGACUGAACGCAAGACUCGCAACAAGUCAAUCAAAUUCCUCAAAGUCAAGUGGUCACACCAUUCCGACCGUGAAGCUACCUGGGAACGCGAGGAUCACCUCCGUUCUGAGUACCCGGCGUUCUUUCAGUCCUAGAUCUCGGGACGAGAUCCUUUCGUAGUGGUGGAGUGUUGUAACACCCCGGAUAUGACUUUCCCAAUAUGUAUUCCAACUCUUGCCGUUUCCGGCUUUAAGUUAUUUUAUUUUCUCGGGUUCGGGUCUUUGUCUUCGUGUGUUGUUAUCGUUGUCAUGCAUCUCAUAUCAUGUCAUCAUGUGCAUUGCAUUUGCAUACAUGUUCAUAUCAUGCAUUCGAGCUUUUUCCCCGUUGUCCGUUUUGCAUUCCGUCGCUUCGUUCUCCUCCGAUGGUCAUUUCUACUUUUCUUUCGUGUGUGGGGUUUAAACAUUUCCGGAUUGGACCGAGACUUGCCAAGCGGCCUUGGUUUACUAUCGGUAGACCGCCUGUCAAGUUUCGUAUCAUUUAGACUUCGUUUGAUACUCCAACGGUUAACCGAGGGACCGAAAAGGCCUCGUAUGUGUUGCAACCCAACACCCCUCCAAUUUGGCCCAAAACCCACCAUAACCCUCUCCAUCAUCUAGAGCGUUCGAUCACGAUCGUGUGACCAAAAACCGCACCUCAUUUGGACUCCCCUAGCUCCUCCUAUGUAUAAAUAGGCAUCUCCCCCGAAAUUCCCGGAUCAAACCACCCUAACCCUAGCGUUUGUCCUCCUCCUGCCGCCGGAUGCGUCCGGAUCGGACCGGACACGUCCGCGCCGCCGCACCCAGCCUGUCACCGCGCGCCACGUGGCAGGCCGUCUCCGCCACCGCCGCGAAGGCCCGCCGGCCCGAAGCCGGCCCUCCCCGCGAUUCGCUCGGGCCAGAGGCGCCCUCCUCGCGAGCCGUCGUCUUCCUCCUCCACGGCACCCGACCGCCGCCUUUCUCCGCCCGUCGCCCCGCCUCUCGCUGGCAAGCCGCACUCCGGCGAGCCUCCGCGCCGCCCGACGACCUCGUCCGCCGCCCCUCUGCCUCGCCGUUCCACCGCACCACGUCGCCCCGGCAAGCUCCCCCACCGGCCGGCCUCUCCUCCCCUCAAGUCCCUCUCCGACCUCCUCCACGGUGACGUCUUCGGCGAAGCUCCGGCGACCUCGACAUCCGUGCAUGAACAGUACCCCCAGCCAGAUCUAGAUCUGAGAAAAUUGCGACGGUUGACUUUUUUCCUGAAACCCUAAUUUUUUGGCUCCUGUUCAUCAUGUCGUAACUCCUCAUCCGUAACUCCGUUUUGGGCAUAUAGCAUAUCAAAAUGUUCGUCUCAGAGAGCACAUCAUUUCAUCUCAUUGCAUCAUUUUCAUUUGAGUUCAUCUUGAUGCCCGAAAUUCUGUUAGAAGAGUGCUACUUGAGUUAAUUGUCAGAUCUGCUGCUCCAUUUAGAUAUUUGUCAUUUUUGCCAUGAUUAUUGUGUGCAUGAUAUGCCCAUGAGCUCUACAUAUGUUUUCUUAACGGUUUUUUCAUCUUUCCAGAGGUGCAACCCAUGUAUUUUUGUGAUGUGUGUGACGACUAGCACAAGCUUGCAAAGUGAGGCACUUGGUUAUGCUGAUUUCAGGGACUUAGCAUUUCCACUAUGUCCUUGAGCUGUUUAUCUCAUAUGGUCAUAUGUUCAUGUUGUUUCCUAGUGAUCCGUGCCUCUUUUGAGGAUGAUCAGUAAGGAUGUUUUGUUAAUAUUGUAGUGCUCUAUCCAUCCAUGUCUUUGUUUGCAAUUAUGGAGCAUCCUAGCUUGAGUUAAUCGAGCUCUACUUUUGCUACUUCGUGAAUCUGGGCAGAUUGUCUACUUGUUAGCGAUUUUGCCGAUGAUGUUGUAGUUGAUCCGUGCAUGCUAUGCUAUUGUUCUUGCCAUGUCUAGCUUGAAUUUUGUGUAUUCUUGAUGGAUGUAUGCUUAGCUUGUCAUGACUUGCUCCGUAGUGAGUGCAUCGAGCUCGUAAACAUGCCUACUUGAUAUCUAUUUUCAGCAUGCUCCAGUUUUCACUAAGUCUGAGAACUGAUUAUAUUUUUGCCAUGUUCACAUGCUUGCAAAUGUAUUUUCUGAUCCCUUUUGGCUCAAGGUCACUAAGGGACUUUUGUUAAGCUCCUUGAGUAGCUCCAUGCCAUGCUUUACUUUGCCAUGUUCAGGUCCUGUAGCAUAUAGUUUUGUUGCUCCGAAGAGUGCUAUCUGAUCUGAAAUUCCAGACAAGUGUUAAUUUCACUAAGUCUGAGAUCUGUUUACCAUAUGCAUUUUUGCCAUGCUUGUUUGAACCUGUUAAUGGAUGAAUUGGCCAUAGCUGAGUGCUAGACUUUUGUUAAGCAUCUUGAGUGCAUCCUUGCCAUGUAUUUUUAUGCCAUGUUUGGAUGAUGUAGCAUGUUCAUCUCAUUGCAUUUAGAUGGCUACUUGCUGUAAAUCGCAGAACGUGGCCAUAUUUGAAUUGCUUGCCAUUUCCAAACCGUAACUCCGAUUCCGGCGUUCUUUAUAAUGUUUUCAAGCAAUUUCAUCUCAUCUUUCCAGUGGCACACUUGGAUUUCCAAGUUGAGGCCAGGUUCAUGCAUUCCAUUUCACAUCUUGCAUAUGCAUCCCGCAUCGCAUCCCGCAUAGCAUACCAUCCUUCCAUCGUAUUGUUUGAGCUUUGCACGUGGUUGAUUGUGUUCCGUUUGCUUGUUUGUCUUGUUUGGGUAGAGCCGGGAGACGAGUUCGCUAAUGAGGAGCCCGUUGAGUUUGCUUUCGAGGAUCCAGUCAACUCUGACAACUUUGCAGGCAAGAUGAUCAUACCCUCGAAAUCACUACUAUCUUUGCUAUGCUAGAUGCUCGCUCUUUUGCUAUGCCAAUGCUAUGAUGCCUUCCACUUGCUUUCAAGCCUCCCAAAUUGCCAUGUCAACCUCUAACCCACCAUGUCCUAGCAAACCGUUGAUUGGCUAUGUUACCGCUUUGCUCAGCCCCUCUUAUAGCGUUGCUAGUUGCAGGUGAAGAUUGGAGACCGUUCCUUGUUGGAACAUUAUUUACUUGUUGGGAUAUCAUUAUAUUAUCUUGUUAUCUUAAUGCAUCUAUAUACUUGGUAAAGGGUGGAAGGCUCGGCCUCACGCCUAGUAUUUUGUUCCACUCUUGCCGCCCUAGUUUCCGUCAUAUCGGUGUUGUGUUCCCGGAUUUUGCGUUCCUUACGCGGUUGGGUUAUAAUGGGAACCCCUUGAUAGUCCGUUUUGAAUAAAACUCCUCCAGCAAUGCCCAACCUUGGUUUUACCAUUUGCCACCUAGCCUUUUCCCUUGGGUUUGACUCAAGGGUCAUCUUAUUUUAAACCCCCCGGGCCAGUGCUCCUCUGAGUGUUGGUCCAACCUAGAGCACCAUGCGGGGCCGUCCCUUGGCAACCUGGGUUAUGUUGGCUCCCGUAUGCUUAGCUUAUCCGGUGUGCCUUGAGAACGAGAUAUGUGCAGCUCCUAUCGGGAUUUGUCGGCACAGCGGGUGGUGUUGCUGGAUUUGUUUUACCAUUGUCGGAGUUGUCUUGAAGAACCGGUAUACCGAGUCUGAUCGGAACGUCUCGGGAGGAGGUCUAUUCCUUCGUUGACCGUGAGAGCUUGUCAUGGGCUAAGUUGGGACUCCCUUGCAGGGAUUUGAACUUUCGAAAGCCAUGCCCGCGGUUAUGGGCAGAUGGGAAUUUGUUAAUGUCCGGUUGUAGAUAACUUGAACCUUAACUUAAUUAAAAUAAAUCAAUAGUGUGAGUUACCGUGAUGGUCUCUUCUCGGCGGAGUUCGGGAAGUGAACACGGUGUUGGAGUAAUGCUUGCCGCAGGUUGUCCUCUGGUUUCUCGCUCGCGCUUUGCCUCCUCUUCUCGCUCUCUUUUGCGAACAUGAUAGCCACCAUAUUUGCUAGUCGCUUGCUGCAGCUCCUCAUAUUUACCUUGCCUUACCUAUUAAGCUUAAAUAGUCUUGAUCGCGAGGGUGCGAGAUUGCUGAGUCCCUAUGGCUCACAGAUUACUAUUACACCAGAUGCAGGGCCUGAUGAUUCCGCUCUAGGUGACGCGCUUGAGCUCAAGUGGGAGUUCGACGAGGACUCUCAAUGAUACUAUGUUUCCUUUCCUGAUGAUCAGUAGUGGUGCCCUGUUGGGGACGAUCGGGACCGUGUCGCAUGUUGGGUUAUCUUUUAUUUUGGCGCCGUAGUCGGGCCAUGAGUGUUUGAAUGAUGUAAUGUUAUUUAUGUACCUUGAUUGACAUGGCGAGUGUAAGCCAACUAUGUUAUCUCCCCUUUUAUUAUCUAUAUAUUACAUGGGAUGUUGUGAAGAUUGCCUAACUUGUGACAUAUGCCUUUAAUGCGAUUAUGCCUCUAAGUCGUGCCUCGACACGUGGGAGAUAUAGUCGCAUCGAGGGUGUUACACUGUCCUUGGUGUUGCACUGGUUGCAGCAGGAGUUCUUGCCCGUGCUGGUGGUGGAGCAGAUGGAGCUGCCAUUGGUGCAUUAACUCUCCUGUUUUCCUGCAGUGAGAACAUAUAGACAGAUUAGAACAUAGUAUUAAAUAUACACAAGAUUUAACCUGCAGUGACAACAUAUAUAAAUAAGAUUUAACCUGGUGUUGGUUCCUUCUCAUUGCUAGGGCUGGCUUCAGAUUUUUGUGGCAGCUAGUGUACCUAUGCUCUGUCAAGUUGCAAUUGCUGCAGGUUAUUGUUGCCAUCCUUGAAGUAUCUUUCGGAGCUGGCUUCUCAAACUGAUUCUUAGUCUGCUUCUUUCCUGGCUUGUCUCUGAAAACUGGUGGCUCUAUGUCAGGGGUCCCAAUAUUUGGCCAUAGAUCAGGCCCAGGCACAGGAUACACAAUUGGAUUGUAGGCUGCUUGGUACAUUGGUUUCUUGAAGAAAUCACUAACAAAAUCUUCUAGAUGAAGUUUUGCCUUGUUAAUUGCAGAAACACCAUGCUUGCAAGGAACACCAGUCAUGUCCCAUUUGCUACACCCACAUCUAUGCACUUGCAGAUUUACUGCAUAUGUGCUUUCUCCACUGCUAACCUGGUAUAGAUCAGGUCCUGCUUUGAUUGACUGACAAUAUCUAGCAUGGUGUUUUGCUUCUUCUAACUUCUCAGCAUAUGUUGGGCAUAUCUGCCACUUGGCUGUCUCAGUCUUGGUCCUAUUGGCAUUGAACUUAACUAGCAAUUUUGUUCUGAUGCUAUCAACCAUGGUUUUAAUUGGUUUCCCUCUCACAUCAAGUAUCAUUUUGUUGAACACUUCACUAAUAUUGUUAACAACCAAAUCAGUUUUACAAUUCUUGUCCAUGGCAUGUCUAGCCCAUGUAUGCUUGGGUAUCUUUCUAAGCCAUUUCCAAGCUGUCUCACACUCUCUUUUCAUGCCUUCCAUUGCUUGUUCAAAACCAUGCUCAGUAUAUGAAUAACUAGCCUGGUCCAUAUACUUCUUUAACUCUUCACCUCUAAAGCCAGCUGUUUGAAAGUUCUGAUAAAUAUGUCUAAAGCAGUAUCUUUGAGGGUAAUUUGGGAAGACAUUGUUUAUGGCUUUAAGAAGGCCCCGUUUAAAUAACUAGUGUUCAAAAUAUAGUAUAACAACACACUAUUUGACAGUACUAAGCAUGGUAAAACUUCAGUAAAAAUAAGAAUUAUGAUGUAUGAGGUAUCUUUUAUCUAUCAGAUAUGCUAGUGUACUUGCCAUACUUGCCUGACUCACCACCAAGAGCAUACUUGAGCUGGGUUAGAAACCAGGACCAGCUGGCAGUGUCCUCCUUGUCAACAAUAGCAAAUGCAAUGGGAAAGAUGUUGUUAUUACCAUCUCUUCCAGUUGCAGCCAAUAUUUGUUGCCCUGUUGUCAACUUAACAAAGCAACCAUCAACACCUACAACCAAACAUAACACAUUAGCACCAAACAUAAACAAAAGCAAUGGCAAAUAUGUUGGGAAAAUAAUUAUGCAAGUACCUAUGAAGGGUCUGCAACCAUUUAGGAAGCCCUCUUUGUAAGCAUUGAGGCACAUGAACAAGCCAUGAAAUCUAGGGUUUUUACUAGGAUGAAGCUUUAAAUGCUUUGUUGUCACAAUGCAUCUACUUACAGGAUUGGUAUCCAACACAACUUGGAGGUAAUCCCUUAUCCUAGUGUAUUGUGCCCUCUGAUCUCCUUGGACAACUUCCUUAGCUGCUUUCCUUGCCCUGUAGGCCAUGUGAAUGGACACUUCAAUUCCAUGUUUUUUCUUCAAAUUGUCAAUUAUUGCCUGGACUGGUGUGUUUAUGUCAGACCUUAACUGUUGCUCACACUCAUGUGCCAACCAUCUUGCAGUGACUUGGUGCUCUCUCCAACAGCAGGACAGUUGUGGUACAAGUUCAUUUUCUUCAUGCAAAAUGUCUUCUCAUGUGCAAUUUUGGAAGCAACAAUGAAAAAAGGACAGUCAUCUGUACUGCAAACUACAAUAACUCUCUGAGCAAUUCCUAUGAAAUGAGUAGUUCCUGUUUUGUGAGAUGUGAAAUGUUAGGAGUGCCCUCCUGAACUGCUGGACAUCUAGCAAACAAAGUUGCUUGACAAAUUGUUCUUAUGGGUUUUUCCUCUCCUCAUCAUACCAAACCCUAACUUUAUUCUUUUUGGACUUGCUCUUCCUACCAUUUGGUAGCUUAAAUGGUGAAAGCUGAGCACAAUCAUUCUCUUCUUGACUUAAAUCACCUGGGUUGCUCUCCUCAUCAGAUGAAGAUGCCCAGUAUUGCUCUAUGAUUUGAUCCAAACUUGCAUGGGAUCUUGUUGUUGGCCCCUUCCCCCUCCUCUUACUUCCUCCUGUGCUGCUGCUACCUCCUAAACUGCUUCCUCCUACACUGCUUCCUCCUCUCAAGCCCUCAUCUACUGGCUCCUCUUGUCCUUCCUCCUCAUCUCUUCCUUCAUUCUCCUCCUCCUCAUCUGGUCCAUAUAGCUCUUCUACAUCAAUGUCUCCUUCAAAGUGAUGUAGUGGAUCAUCCCUAUGCCUCUUCAUUGCCUCCAACCUAGCCAAUAUGCCCUCAUCUUCAAGAUCUUCAUCCUCACUUUCACUAUCAGUGAACUCCUCAGCAAGCAGCUGUUGGAGUUUUCUUUUUGCUGCCUUGUACUUCUCUCUUUGUAUCAUAUUACUCCUGUACCUCUGAAUUUCUUCAUUUCUUUUCUGCUCCAUCAUCUGCUCAAUGUGCUCUUGCUCUUGGUCUGUCUCCAUGAAAUACUCAUGCCUCUCAUUACCAUUGUCCAAAGCAAACUCAGGUUCACUUGGGCCCUUUUGCUUCAACAAACAAGAGCUCUCCUGUGUGUUCAUUACUUGGACUGGUUGUGGUUGGGGUUUCACUGGACUGGGGAAAAGAACUCCUGAAUUGUCUACCUCAUAGACAACUGGUACACCUAUUUCUGAUAAAGGAACCUGCUCUUCAUAAGCAUGACCAAUGUUCAAAUCAACUGGUCUAGGUGCAUCACUUCUCAUAAUUGUAAUGUUAACAACAUUCUUUCCUUUACUAGCUAUGUCAUCCAACAUUUCUUCCACCUUGUCAUCAUCAGUUAAUUCUUCCAUUCCUGACACACCAACUCCUGGAUCUCUAACAUAAUACAUAAAAUCCCUUGAACUAUAGCCUUCUACCUCUAUUAGGGCAAUGAGAUUCCAGAAGGUUAUGUCUGAUAAACAGAUUGUUCUUUCCAAGUUAUCUCUGUCUAGGAAAUGGAACCCCACUUCCCAUUCUUCAUCAUCCAAGCUACAAAUUCAGAUAAAAUGCAUUUAACAGUGUUCACAAUUAUUGUUAAGAGGUCUCAUUGGUGGCAACAGAAAUUCAGUUUAGAGUGUUAAAAUCCAGUUAAUAGUGUAAACAAAAUUCAGUUAACAACAUACAAUUAUCAAUAAAUUCAGUUAACAAUUAACAGUGUUCACAAUAUUCAGUUAACAGAGUUAAAAUUGUUGGCAACAGAAAUUCAGUUAACAGUGUUAAAAUCCACUUAACAGUCUUCAAAAAAUUCAGUUAACAAUAUACAGUGUUCAAUAAAUUCAGUACACAGUUAACAGUUUACUGAAAAUUCAGUUAACAACUAACAUUAACCCUAAUGCUAGAACCCUAACACUACAACCUUAGCCGUACUACAACUACCCAAGAACACCAACCAUAGAACCCUAACACUACAACCCUAACCCUAGAAUACCAAUCGGGGAAAUGACAAAGGAGGAGGAGGAUGACUUACUCCACACCGCCGAAGGAGGAGGCAAAAUGGUGGCUGCCCGUUGGAUUGGCCUUCACUGACUGGGCGAACACAGUAGCCGCCGCGUAUUCCAACGACUUCGGCGGCGACGACGGUUGGGGAAGAGGCAGCGCGCUCGACGGAUUGGAGCUCCCGCAGAACUCCGGUGGAUCUCCAGCACCGCCGCCCGGAGCAUCCCCACCGGCAGCAACUCCCCCGCCGCCGUCCACACCGCUAGGUUUCGUCGUCGCCAUGGAUUGGAGCUGGAGGGAGAGGACGGAGCAGAUCUGGUCUGGUCGGGCGCCGUCGGUCGGUCGGUCCAGCUCGACAAGAUGUACGCUCAAACGGCGCCGUUAGCGCGUCCGUUACGCCACGCCACGUCACGCCACGUCACGCAUAUUGGGCCCCCCAUGUCAGAAACGCCCUCAACCGCGCAGAAUUACAUGUUCAGUGUAAUCUGCAAAACUGUUACUGAAUCCGCGGUGGCUUUUGCAAAUGAUUAGCGACCACGUUGUUUUCUGCAAGAUAAGCCCAAAUGUGGUGGUUUCUUGCAAUUCACUCGUUUCUGACCCUAGUACUAUGUUCUGUGCCCUUAGGGCCAUGUAAUAAAGUUUGAUCCUCCAGCUUCAACAUUGUGUACACUACAUAUUAUUCGUAGUGACAUCACAUAUUUGAUUCAUCAAUCUUUGCAAUCCAUACAAUGAAAUGGAGCAUACAAGUACUUUGUACUGUUUACCUAAAAAGCACUUUCUAUAAAAUACUACUCUACAUAGUUUUGCUUAGCGGUAUAGCACAUGGAUUUACCAACGCUUGCGGUCCAAUCCUUCAAUGUGACAAAACAUUCGGAACGUAAUUGCCGAUGCAAAGCCCACUCCAAACCCCAGGCCAACAAAUGUGAAGAGAAGGAUGGCAUCAAGUUUAUCCUGCCACAAAUUAUAAGGUUCAGGAGGGUCCAAUGCACUUGAAUUUGUAGUCUCACAUUGUUUAGAGAGCGGACUUCCACAUAGCCCCACGUUGCCUUCAAAUGAACUAUUGGGGAAUGACAAGAACUGGUUGCCCUGCGGUAUUCUUCCAACCAAGUUGUUGUAUGAAAGAUUCAACCAAGCAAGAGAGGUUAGAGAGGUCAGCACUUGCGGGAUUUCUCCUGAAAUCCGGUUCCAGGAGAGGUCCAACGAUUCCAGCUGAGACAAGUUACUGAGGCUAGAUGGCAUUUGUCCUGUGAAAUUGUUGGACGACAUAUUAACCCCGUGAAGCGAAACAAGAUUCCCAAUUGACUCUGGAAUAGGACCAUCAAAUGAGUUAUUUGAGAAAUCGAUUGCUUUGAAAGUAGUUAGAAUCUUGGUGAAAAUAAGGUCGGAUCCCUUAAGUGUGAUGGUAACAGUGUCUUGAUAAAAUCCAUGCGUCGUGUUUGUGUAAUAGCCUAAAACUCGUCCCUCCUCGUUGACAUUUUCCAUCAUUGCUUUGAAUUUAUUAAACCAUCCUUUUGGCAGGUGUCCAUAGAAUCUGUUGGAAGCCAAACAGAGUAUUUGCAAACUUGGGAACUGGUUGGUGGUUCCAUGGUCACCAUCAAGAUCCCUUAUUGUUCCAUUGAGCUGGUUGGACCGUAAGACAAGGACGCGAAGCUUUGGAAGAAUACCCAACCAAGAUGGAAAAGAACCGCGGAACUGAUUGUUACCAACAUCAAGAAGCUCUAACUGUUGACAAUUUGACAGUGAUCUUGGUAGUUCACCUUCAAUUCGAUUUCUGUUCAAAUCUAUCGUUCGAAACUUGCAUUCCUCUCUAAUAUUUUCAGGCAACAUCCCAUUGAAUUGAUUUUCUCUCAACUUCAACACGGCUAGUUUCCCACUUCCUAUAAGACAUGAUGGGAGUGAUCCACUAAAAUUGUUGUAAGACAGGUCCAAGAUAUUGAGAUGGCUUGCACUGCAGAUGGAAGAUGGUACAUAACCAUUUAAUUUAUUCUUGGACAAAUUGAGGUAGAAGCUUCUAAUGUAUCUUCCAAAGUCGGGAAGAAUGGAAGAGAAGUUAUUGUUUGAAUAAUCCAAUACUUUCCCAGGCAUUGCAGUUACCGGUAUUGGUAUGCUGCCUUGAAGCCUAUUAAAGCUGAGAUCAAGAGCAGUUAGGCGUGGCAUAUGAACAAGAGAAGGAAACUUCUCCAAAGCCGUGAACAUGUUGCGCGAGAAGUUCAAACUCUCAAGCUGGUCCUUCCAGUUCUCCCAUACCAAACUUGGUAUAACAUCAUUUAUUUGAUUACUUGAAAGGUCAAGAACGGAAACUUUAUCUAGAUAUCUCAGUGAACCCGGAAAUUUUGUGAGGUUGCAGGAUGCAAGGUGUAUCUGGUAGAUGUUAGGAAGAGAUUUUAAAACGUCACCGCCUUCUUCGUCGGCGAUUGAUAGCUUGUUGUUGGAUAGACUAAGAAAAAAGAGUUUCUCCAACCUCCAGAAAGAGCUUAGUUUGAUUGUGCCUGACAAUCUAUUUGAUUCAAGGUUGAGGUAUUCAAGAUGUUUAAGCUGAAGGAUUGGUUUGGGUAUAUGGCCAGUUAACUGGUUGUCGUUUAUCUCGACAGUAGACAAGGAUGAAUAUAGAGGGGAAGGAAUGUCUUCAAGAUGACCAGAGAGUUGAUUGUUCUUUAGGGAAAGCACUUUCAAUGCUGGAAAAGCGAACAACGAUUGUGGAAUUUUCCCUGCAUGAAAAGGGCGAGUACUAGUCAAAAUAUGUUCCAGUGCUUUUAAAAGAAAAUUAAUACACAUAUCUAUGUAUAUAUGGCAAAAUAGCAAUCAGUUUUUUUAAAAAGAAGUAAAUUAUCCAUUAAUUUCUGAAAUAUUUCAUGACUUUUAGGUGCAAUACUGUGUUCAUAUACUUUUAUAGUUAAUUCGGCCUAUAUUUCUAACAAACUUAAAUAACACUACUAAUAGGGCAGCCCGGUGCACGUAGCUUCUGCUUGCGCAGAGUCCGACCACUUUGGGUCUAUUGUACGCAGCCUUUCCCUACAUUUCUGCAAAAGGCUACUAAUGCAGAGGCAGGGAUAAACAUAAAUAACACUACUAAUGCCCCCAAAAAUUAAAUAACCACAUUUUUAACUGUGCAUGCUAACCAACAUUUACAGAUAAAUAGUACAAUUGAUAGUUUAAUAGAAUAUGUGCUUUGCAGCUAUGGUGUGGGCAUCGUCUGAUGCAGAGGCCGGGGAUAAACCCUCCUUUUCGAAAAAGGUAGUUUUCAGCUAAGUAAAUUACUGAAGACUAUGGUUAUGGUAGUUGGAAAUUAAGUUUCACUGUGAGUAGCGGAAGUGUUAUGGCCAUAAAAAGAUUCACAAAAGAACAUCCUAACCAAACUAUACUUCGAUCUACCGAAAAAGGCUUUGGCCCUGCAGUAUAUAUAAAGCAAAGACCAACGACAAUUCACCGCAAACAACACACACCCGAGGCAGGAUACAUAGGUGCUGAAGAACAGCUACAACCGGAGUGUGGCUCAUUGUGAAAUGUGAACUCGCUAGAGGUGUGGUUAGGCAAGUACUACACAACUAAAAAGUGUCGAGUAUAAAAAAUAAGAUGUUUUUUCUGCAAAAAUGUUUACUCUUUCUGUAAAUACAUGGGGUGACCUCAUUGUUUCAGGUUGAAAAACAGAGUAAUUUCCUUUUCUUAGCAGUACCGUGUAUUUAAAUAGAUGAGAGUUGUGUCAACCAUGAUAUGCAUUUAGCUAGGAACGAAAAGAAGCAUUAUCUGAGAUUGUAGUUAGGAUCUCACCAACAAGGCUGUUGUUCCCUAGCCGUAAAACUUCAAGCCGGGUCAAGUUUGCGAUUGCCGAGGGAAUCGACCCAGAAUGCCGGCAACCUUGGAUACUCAAUGUUGUCAACCUGUUAAGGUUUCCGAUCCAUGAAGGCACCGGUUGCCCGGUGUAGUUGCAAUUUUCGAAAUCCAGCAGCGUCAGCUUCGCAAGAGUUCCAAUCUGAUCAGGCACCGUCCCAGUGAAACUGCAACUCUUCAUGCGCAGGUACACCAAGCCCGUCAGAUUGCCGAUCCAAGAGGGCUGUGACCGAGAGAAAUCAUAUCUCUCGAGGCGCAAAGAUGUCAGCUGCCUGAUAUCGCCAACUGAAGAAAGCUCGGGACCUACCGGGUCCCAGGAGCUCGACCCGUGAAGCUCCAGACUGCUCAGUGAUGGGAGCUUGCUCAGCGAAGAGAGCCCCUCGGAAAUGCGUGUGGUGGUGAGGCUCAGGCUCUUGAGGGAGGUGAGGUUGAGGAGUGCGGGGUCGACGCGGCGGAUCACCGCGACGAUGCUGCUGAGGUUCAGGGAGAUGACCCUUCCGGAGGCUGCAUCGCAGGCGACGCCCUCCCAGUGGCAGCAGUCCUCUCCGUCUCGCCAUGACUGUAGGUUUGCAUGGGUGAAGGAAUGUUUGAGGUGGAGGAGGGCUGAGGCUUGGUCUGGGAGGCAGGGGACGGUGCUGUUGGUGGUGUUGGCUGAAGCGUGCAUGGAACAGGAGCAUAUGAGGAGGAGCGUGAGGAUGUGGAGGUGGUGCAGAAUGGGAGUAGCCACCAUUUUGCUGCUGGCCUGCGGCUUCCAAUGGUGUAGGACAGUAGGAGUAUGUUCCCUUUAUAGAGUGCAGACAGUAGGAAUCAUUUUGCAUGGUCUGGGUCAUGCAUGCCGUGGUUGACAGGCCAUUUGGUGAGAAAAAUAUCACGGUGGCUGUGGUGAAUAGACUCGGCAGGCAGUCAAGAUGCAUGCAUGGUUCCUGAAGUCUUUGUUUUAUGCUUGCAUUUCUGUAGGCAUUUUCAGCUGCUUUUUCUCGGAUGGCAAACCUAAGCCCAACAAUAGACAUGUGCUAGACUUCGACCAGCCGGCAGAAAUGCUCGGAUCAUUCUGUUUUGCUUUUUGACCCAUUUUUGUGAACUUCAAAGCAGAGCAUUGUGGUUUCUUUGCUGGUAGCUGGAACAGGAACACCAUGCUUUGCUGCUGAUGGCUUUGUCCAAGUGAUCACAAGAUGGUUCUUGUGUCACUACGAAAAUGCACACAUCCCAUCGUUUUCUUACUUCUGGGUAUUAUCUAACGACCAAGACGCGAAGACCUGGUAACACCAGCAUCCAUCUUCUUUGUGAUCUUUCUAUAAAUUACUGCUGAGACUUGCAAGUCGUCCUACACAGGGCCCUUUGGGUGUUGGUCCAAGAAGAACCUCAGGCAAGACAUCUGGAACGGACAGAGAGAACUCUUCAAAGGUUGAACUGUUCUCUGGACUGCUUAAUUUCCGGCUUCGAGUCAAGUUACGCAUUUCAUACUCUUCAAACGUAGUAGCUCCCGCAUGACUGUUCUUUUCUUUCUGUUGGUAGCAGUUUGUCACCAUUUGCCUGCAUGUGUCACACCAAACUGUCAUAUAAUGCGGAAAAUUCUCGGUCCAGCGAAGGGGACAGAUGACCAAGAAACAAUUUAUUCAUUACUUACUACAGUGCUUCCUUCGUCAUCAACAUACUGACGGUCAAAGCUAGGGGUGGUUGAUUACACACGUUGUCGGAGGACCUACCAUCUUUACUGGUACAAAAAGCAUUGGCUGGUUCUUCAGUCUUUGCUACCUCUAUUCCACCGUGUUACCCACAGUUUUUAACAAACCGAUUAAUUGAAUUUAAUAGAUCGGGCAUUGAGUUAGUCCUGCUAUCCAUUGAUUAACUUCAGAAUUCAAAUCACCCACCCCUCUAAUGAUCACCAGAAAACCUAAAAACCAGACUCACAUUCCCUCCAUUCACUUGAUACCAUGACUGUUUGACCUUGUUGGACUUUGAAAGCUCAAAGGGGAGCAUGAAAAGACUUUGGUUUUGUUGACUGUGGUGAUUAUAUUAAAUGUAGUCCUGCUGUCAUUUCCCAUCAGGACUGGGCACUGAUAUUAGGCUCUUACGCUGCUGGCGUCAGAGAGUAAUUACGUUGGGCUCUGAUAGAUUGCAAAGAAACUAUGCAACAGAUCCAAAGUUAAGCUUAGGCAGAUAUAAUAAAGUAACUUCGACAUACCAGAAACCCUUGCAGUUUGUUAGCAUCGGAUCCAGCCAUGUCGCCCAGUUGAUCCUCAGAGUCGUACCGCUUCCAUGCAUUGCACAUCUCGGUCACUGGCCAUUCUUUAAACAGACAUUUUGGGGGAACACAAUGAAUUUGGGAAUCUGGAUCAUCUGUAUUGCCUUCUCCUCAUCAUCACCAUCACCAAUGGUCAGAAUAGCCCUCUCAUAUUCUCUGUAGGCUUCCCAGAGUUAGCUGCCUUUUAGUCACAUGUAGACCCCCUGCAGUGACUGCAGACUCUUACAAAUCCCUCAUUUUUGAAAGAUCAGAUUGUGACCAUCAUGACACUGACUGAUCAUGCUCCUCAACAGAACCAAGGUAGUCCUGCAAAAUAGAUUAAUGCUUCGAUCAACAAGAUAAGUUAUCACUCCAGAUGCUCAACAAUCUAAACUCAACUCCACAAAAACAGUAUGGCAUACCAGAUAUUCUUGCACUCCACGUUCAUAGAGCUUUUCAUGACUUUAACAACAGAGACAAGGAGAAAGGUUUUGGUGCAGAUAACAUAAAUAUUCCAGGAAAGCGCUUCAAGAGAAAAAAGAAUCACAAACCCAAAGCUCAGUUAGAUCUCAUCCUUCGGCCAAUCCCACCACAUAUUUGGUGCGAGAGGCACGAACCUUAUCGAUAUCCCCCGGUUAUUUUUUCAAACAUUGUACUAACUGAAAAGGAAAACACUAGUGCGUAGAUAACAACCACAAAGCUCAGACCAAUCAGUCUGUCACAAAACAGAACAACAGAAAAACCAAAAGCAUACAAGAGAUUUAUCAACCAAUCAGACCAAUCGGCAUUAAGCUAGUCAGGCAAUAACUUCAUCAACCAAAAGCAUCUACCCACCUAGAAGUUCAUACAAGAUAAUACUACGUACAACGAAAUAACAUUGAAGUCAAGACAAUGAAGCAGCUCAUUUCGAGCUAUUGCAUCGUCGAGCGAUGAUCUCAUUCUGCAAGCUCAUGUAGAACUGUUGUUGUCGCCCAGUCAUAGCACUAAUAUCCAUAUCCAUAAUUCUCCCAUCUUCCAACCUUCUCUGAAGUUCUAACUCUCUUUCCCUUACUUCCAGCUUCUUUCUCUUGAAUUCUAACUCUCUUUCUUUUACUUCAAGCUUUUUUCUCUUGUGUGCUAUCAUGCCUUUUCCAUUUGCAAUCCUCUCUUCUUCUAGUGCACAUGCUUGUUCAAAGUGCUCAUCUUCCUUGAGCUCUUUCACGCUCUCCGCCACUCUCUUAUUUGACCACAGAUGAUCAGCCGCUUCCAUGUAAAUAUUAUCAUUUGGAGAGACAGAACUUUUACAAGGUUGUAAUUGUUCUUUCUCCGCCAUACUACCUAUUGGUCUUUCCAAAGGCUCAUUUUCUGGAGUAGGAACCUCCGCUUCACCAUCAGGACAACUUGAGUUGGACGUGUCUGGACUUGAAUUGGGUGUCGUCUUCUGUUUUUUCUGAGAUAACAUAUCAGUCCAUUUUUUAUGGAGUUGUAAGGUAUUCCAACAAUGCAAGAAACCAAACACUUUCUUUUCUUCUGCCUUGUACACUUCCAAUGCCUGAACAAUCUGUGCAAGUAUAUGUCUUGUUAAAAUUACAUAAAACAAAUGUAACUACAGAUUAAAGAGAUAGGUGUAUACCUUAUCUUUCUCUGUCGUUACGCUUCUACACCCAACACGGUCAUAACAUCCACAGAACUUCUGUACGUGUUCUUGAAUGGUCGACCAACGGUGCAAGAGAGAAUUUUGACUACGAUCUGACUCGAAGUUCCUGUUCUCGUGGAAGUAACAAUGCAUUCUCUGCCAAUAAGUAGAACAAGUCUGCUCAUUCCCUUGUGCUGCAUCCAUACUGAUAUUUAGCCAUGCCAACACCAACAUAUAGUCUUCCUUGUCACUGAAAUUUUCUGUUCUCUUGAUGUUUGUUGGCAUGGACGGAAUAGCUUGUUCAAUUGGCGAUUGUUGCUCCUCAGCUGAGCUACUACCAAGUUGACGGUCAUCCCAAAAUGGUUCCUUGUUUCCCUGAUUCAACAAGCUCCUAUAAGUAUAACCAUCCAUUGUGGCAACCUGCAUUGCAAAAUAAUAAAUUAGUCUUCUCUUGCUGCCGCAUAACAGAGUGCGCCAUGAAUAUUUGCAGGAAUAGUUCAAUUAUAAUCUCUGUUUGUGUCCAGUAAGGGAGAGAGACACGUGGUCUUGGUGUGAUUGCGUCAACUCUUAUCCAAAUUAAUUAAAACCAAGCAAAUUUUGCAUUCUCCUGUUUCUUUGUGAGCUCUACUCCACACCUUCCAGGAUGUCAUGUGAACCAGUAAGAGAAAUUCGUCACCCUAAGGGCAAAACUAAUGCCGAAAAAGGUCCAAAUGUGUAAGAGCACGUCCUAGUAAAAAAUUCAGUGUGCAGGUAGGCACCGCCAUAAAGCUCGCGUCAACUUGUGCAUCAGAAAACCUGGUCAAAGCCCUAGCUAUUCAGCGAGAUGAGGGCAUGGCAGUGUGCCCAAGAGAGGGUGAGACAGGGGAUGGGAUACCUGAAGGUGGGACUUGUGGUCGAGAGGCUGCUCCUGGAGGGCGCACUCCAGGGCCUGAACCUGCUCAUGCCCACAGUCCCCUCCGUCGUCCGAGCCCGAGUCCUCAUUUUUUGGACUACGAGCCUCCGCUUCAUCAUCAAGCCGAGUUGAGUUGGUUCCAUGAGCAAAUGUACCCGGACUUGAAUUGGAGGUUGUCUUCUGUUUUUUCUGAGACAACCUGUCAGUCCACUUUUGAUGGGCGUGUAAGGUAUUCCAACAAUGCAAGAAACUAAACGCUUUCUUCUCUUCUGAUUUGUACACUCCCAACGCCUGAACUAUCUGCGCAAGUAUGUAGAUAUGUCUUAACAAAAUCGCACGGAACAUGUGAAGUUACAAGCAGAUUAAAGCGAUAGGUGCAUACCCUUUCUUCCUCCGUGACCCCGUUCUUACACCCAAUCCGGUCAUAACACCAGCAGAAUUUCUGAACGUGUUCCUGAAUGGUAGACCAACGGUGCGUGAGGGAAUUCUGAUUGCGAUCCGACUCGAAGUUCCUGUUCCGGUGGAAGUAACAAUAUAUCCUCUGCCAGUAAGAACGAACUUGCUCGUUCCCUGGUGCUACUUCCAUGCCGAUAUUCAGCCAUGCCAACACCAACAUGUUGUCUUCCUUAUCGCUGAAAUUUUUUGUUCUCCUGCCCCUUGAUCUCACGGACCGAGUAGACCGUUCAGCUGGCGACUGCUGCUCCUCAGCUGGGGUACAGACUUGACGGUCGUCCCAAAAUGCGCCGUUGUUUCCCUGGUUCAGCGAGCUCCUGUAACCAUCCAUUGGGGCACCCUGCAUUGCGAGACAACAAAUUAGUCGUCUCUCCCAAUAAACUGCGGCUGCAUAACAUUGGGAGAUGACAAAUUAGUCAUCCAUUUGGGCACCAUGGAUAUAUGCCUGAAUAGUUCAAGUGUGGUCUCUGUUUUUCUGUAUCCAGUGAGAGAAAGAGAUACACAUGGCAUUUACAGUAUGUGAUAGCAUCAAUGCAUAUCCAAAUUAACCAGGGAACCAAAAAUUAUUUGUUCUUUUUUCCCUUGAAAAGAAACAUUUGUUCUUUCCCAAUUCUCCUAUUUCAGUAGCUCAUUCUGACAAUUCGUCACCCUAAUAGCGGAAUUGGCGCAGUAAAAUGUCCAAAUGCGUGGGAUCGCGCCCUAAAUCGAGAACCAAUUGUGCAGGCAGGCGCCGGGAAGCACGCAUCAGCCCGAUCAAAGCCCUAGCCGGUCGGCGGCGAGAGGAGGAGCACGGCGGGGCGCGCGAGGGAGAUCGCAGCAGGGUACCUGCACGUGGGACUCGUGGGCGAGAGGAUGUCCCUGGAUGGCGCCCCGCAUGGCCUUGACGCGGACCCCGUCGAAGCCCGGGGGCGGCCUCCCGGAGGUGAGAUUCUCCCCCUCGUGGGCGCCUCCGCCGGCGACGCCCGCCUCCGGCAGGCCCUCCUCCAUGGGCGGCGUACCCGACCGUGCGUCAGUCACAGCAAAAACGACGCGACCGAGCUCGGGGCGCUGCGUUUUUCCUCUUUUACCCCCCUUCCCGUUUCUCCGCACUUUUCCGGGGAAGCGCCGCAGGAGUACCGAAAUUCGGACGCGGUCCAUGGUUUUCCCUUUGGAACAGUAUUCACAAGACAAAAAAUAUAUUCCGGCAAAGCUCGUGAAUGUUUCCACACUCUCUUUUAUUCCUGACUAGUGUAAAAAACGCUCUUAUAUUAUGAGACGGAGGAAGUACAAUGCGUCAAGAAUAAGAUCUCCCAAUUGCUGACCAUCGGCAGCAACAAUGUGACGUGGAUUGCCGAUCGACUUCAUCGAUGUGUAAAACCUCGAACCUUGACUCAAGAGUGACAUAGUUUAUUUUUUGUGGGGGAAGAGUGACAUUGUCCGUCGAGAGAAAAUCCAAUGUACUAGUUCAUUUGAUAGCUCGUCUUUGUGCCGAUUUUCGACACAUAGGUAAUGCCAUCUUCGUUGCCUAGGUGGAUCAAAAAUUUCACCAGGGAGGUGUUUAAAAUUUGCACGUGCAUAUAGAAAUGGAGAUGAGGCAGCGACCACAUCAUGUUCGGUUGCAUUGUUGCUUAAUAUGCGUGGAGUGCGAUUCGAGAGGCCACGGGUUACAACCGGAACAGAAAGGUUUUUGUGGAUGUUCACCAUGGGCAAGGAGGGGCGUUUAACUUGGGUGGCUUUUCACGACGAUUAAUUGCUUGGUCACUAUGGACCAUCCGUAAUAAAGCAUUAUUUGAGCGGAAAAUCUUCAAGCAUCCGACUGAUGUGGUGUAUAGAAACGUUGUGUGAUUGCAGCUUUGAAAGCUACUAGGAGAACGAAGGAUCAAUCACAUCUUGAAGCAUACAUCAACAAGCUGCGAGCUACAUGUCGCCAACUCCGGGAACCAACUACAGAUACUACUGCCUGGAGAGGCACCCAUCUUGUCGCGGUUAUGACUAAGGAGAUGAGACCGAAGUUUUAUACCUCGGUGGCUAACCUCGAUGGAAAUGCGCUUGUUGAUGGUAUAAUUUGGCUACGUAGUAUGUGAUGAGCCAAAUUAAAUCAAUGGUUUAUCAAGUUGAUCGGUUAAUGCAUUGUUAAAGUGUUGCCACAGGAAAUUUCAUGGAAGGUAAAAAUACAAGUCCUAAGAAGAAUCAUAUGCUAUAUUGGACCAUGGGUGUGAUGCAUGCAAGUGAUAUAUAUCUACGUAUAUGAAGAAGUAUGCUUAGUCCUGAUGGUCAUUAUCCAGUUUGAUUUGCGACGUUGCCGGAAUAUUUAAUAUUUUCUUUGUGGGCUCAAGGUAUUUAUACAUAUGCUUAGCCACUAUAUUUAGUGUGAUGGCGACGUGGCCGAAAUACUUUAUUCAUAUAUACAAGAGUGCAUGUACGUGGAUAUGGCCUAGAUUUGCUACGUACUUAGAUCGGCAAGUAUAUUUUUUGUAGACGUAUGCUACAUGGUAACCGAAUCAAGAAAGGCGUCCUGAUUGGUUUUAGCUUCGGAGUUGUAAUCUUGUAUGCCAAGUCCAGCAUGCCAUAUAUAUGUAAGGCCGUGGACGAUUGAGGAGGAGAGUAAUCGAUCUAUCAAUACAAACUACUUUUUCACGUAUGUCUAUUUACUGUUGUUACCUCCUGCCAAGCUCUAGCAGCCCUAGGGUUUGGCGAUCUUUGCCGUUUUGUGCUGGAAAGCGGCCGGUUUUUCUCCACGAAAGCGAGGAAAUCUUUGUUGCUUUGCUCGUAAAUCAAUCGUUCGUCGUCACGAAAACACGACAAAUAUCCUGGUGUUGCGCGGCGAUUUCGCGUGCCAACAGCGCUGUGUCGCUUGUUCUGGUCCUAGACCCUAGUGCCUUGUGUCGAACCUUAUUUCCUUUGUCGUCUUCUUUUAUCUCCUUUCUCAUGAAGUUCGGCCGAGCGGUUGUAAACUGUAAAACUUAAGGGCCAAGGCCGGGCAAGCGUCUCAGCUUUAAAAAAAAAAUGUUGGUAGUACACGCCAGUCCCAUCCAUCCUUUCCCCUUCCCUCAAAAAAAAAAAAAAUCCAUCCUUUCCCCGUUUCUCUGCCACUGCCUCUGCCCGUCUGCCGACUCGUGACGGCCGGACCUGCCGGCGGCCGGCCAGAGGCGAGCCGCCGCCACCGCAAGGUAUCCAUCCGUCCCUCCCGAGUCCCGCCCCGUCCUCUCCACCACCGCCACGCCGUCCUGACGAUUCUCCGCCUCGCACCGCAGCGCCUCCGGAAUGCCUCAAGGGAGGAGGCACGGGAGCGCGGCGCGGACCGCAUCGGCGCGCUCCCGGACCCCAUCCUGCAGCACGUCCUCUCCUUCCUCCCGGCGCAGGCGGCCGUGCGGACGUGCGUGCAGGCCCGGCGCUGGCGCCACCUCUGGAGAUCCACCAGGGGCCUGCGCGUCGUGGGCCUCGACGGCGCGGACGCCGUCCAGGGCCUCCGCAAGUUCAUGGACCACCUGCUGGUCCUGCGCGACCGCGCCGCCGACCUGGACGCCGCCGAGAUCAGGUUCGACCGGUUCUCGGUGGCCGACGACGAGGCCUACGUGAACCUCUGGACCCGCUUCGCCGUCAUGAGCAGGGUCCGCGACCUCACCCUCCACAUCGGCGCCUCCUCCUACCUCGACCUCGACAACCUGCCCCUCGUCUCCCAGCACCUGCGGGUGAUGAACCUCGACGGUCUCAGCCUGCAGCAGAAAUUUCUUGACCUCGCCGGCUGCCCGGCGCUGGAGGUUCUGAAUAUUCAGCACUGCGACAUCAGCGUUGGCAGGAUAUCGUCCCGUUCCCUGAAGCAUUUGAGCCUCAGAAGCUGCCGCUCCAACUCCAAUUGCUGGGUCCAUGUCUCUGCUCCGGGCCUUGUCUCUCUGGUGCUGCUUAGAUUUGGGGGCACAACCCCUUUUCUUGAGAACAUGGCGCUGCUGGAGACCGCGCGUCUUGAUCUUAGUGACGACUUCGAUGUCUGCUUCGAUUACGACUCCGAUGAGAACUCUGUUCCUUUCAAUAAAGAUGACAGUGGUGAUUCUGUGCUCCUGGGUGCUCUCUCGGGUGCUAAACAUCUGGAGCUGGUAUCUGCAUUUCAAAAUGUAUGGUACCACUGCUCUUCAACUCCUUCUGUUAUCCCCUCUUUUUGUGGUGCACUGUCUACAAUGUUGCUAGGCAAUUAACUGGAUUACAUAUAUACAUUACCAUCCGUUGGGGUGCAUUAGGUCAUAAAUUUGCGUACGUUCUGGUUAAGGAUUGCUUGAUCAUUUUACAUUUCUGUUUUCAGUUUGUUUUCAGAAGAGAUUUGAGACAGUGCCCUACAUUCAGCAAGUUAAAGACUUUAUUACUCAAUGAGGACUGGUCCGAGGCUCCUGACUUGGAUGCACUAGCUUGCAUUCUGAAACACUCGCCAGUUCUAGAGAAGCUCACUCUUCAACUCUUUACCAACAAGGUAUAAAUCUUCGAAAUGGGCAAUUGCUACACUGUUGAGGUUAUUACCGAUUAUUCAUCUUUGUUGGUGUUCCUGCUUACCAUAGGGACCAAAACAAGAAAUGAAAAUGAAAGGAAGCUACAGUUCAGCGGAGAGACCGGCUGCAAUAUCAGAGCACCUUAAAGUAGUUGAAGUCCAGUGUAAUGUGGUCAAUCAGGGAGUUUUCAAAGUUUUGAAGUUCCUCUGUGCAUUUAAUAUACGUAAGCUAACUGAUGGCACUUUCCAUACUCUUUAUCUUCUGAAAUUAGCCUUCGUAUGUGGGAACGAAACUGUGGAAGCAAGCUGUGAAGAAUAAACUCCUGAAUUAUGUAGGAAGAACAGUUUGUAGGGGUGCCAAAUUAUUUCAGGCUUGAAAAAAAAUCUGAACCACAUCCGGAAGGGGCACAAGUUAAAACCAAUAUUAUCCAUUUUGUCGGCAAAGGAGGCUUUAGUUUAGCUGUGUUGCAUAAACAGUGAGUGUAAAACGACAUGUGUACUUGUUGAUUGGUUCUGGUCUCUUUUGGGCAGUGGCGCAAAUAUUUGAAUCAAUUAAUUCAGAGUAGGGAUACAGUAUCUUCACAUGUUGAUUAGCUUUGAAGUCUGAACAUCAACUCAAGUUCUGCAGGAAUACAUAUUUUCACUCCUUUUGUUUUAGAGUAGUCGGUGCUAAUCAGUAAUGUUUUUUAUGAGUUCGUUAGAUGGGCAGGUCCUUGCCCUUAUGGACUAAUGUUAUUCCGCACUCGAUUCUUGAUCAUGCAGAAUAACUGCAGUAUGAUAUCUCUUUACAUUAUAUAAACAUAGUGGCUACUGUAUGAUGUUCCUGCAUUAUAGUUUUGGUUGUGAUUCCUCUGUUUGCUCCUGGGAAGUCGUCAAUGUUUACAUAACGUAUUUUUUUUCUUUCAAAAAGAAUCUGUACAUCACAUGUCUAUUAGUGUAUGCCAUGAUUCCUUACUUCACCUUUCCUUUGACAUGAAACUGCUUAUGGCAUUUUCUGCAUUCUCAUUUCAUUUGGGAGCUGUUUAGAUAUAUGUUUUCUUGUUAUAUGUCAGAUUAAGCCAGAAAUAUAUUCAAAGUUUUUCCCAUAGUUCAUGUUAAGAUAAGUUGCGCCUGUAAAGUGAGUGUCCUUCAAUCUUACUGAAGUCUGUUCCAGUAUCUUCAUUUCCAUCGGCAUGAAAGUGUAACUGAGCAUUCUACUUCUGCAUAUACGCCACUCUUACGUUAUCUUUUCAUUUAUAUACAGGAUUCAGUUUUGAGUAGGGGUGAGAAGAUGUGGGGCGUCAGUUGAUUUGGCAUCUCGUGGCUAUUCAGUUGAUUUGCCAUUGUGACAAGGCUUCCAUGUUCUUUUUUACAUGUGUGUCUGAUACCAGUUUUGUCAGUUUGUUCAAAGCCAAAAGAGACCAGAAUAAUGUUGCACAUCAGAUUGUUGCUGUUGUUCGUAGAAUAGGAGCUGGAGCUAUUUCGAGCUCUGCUGUUCCUGAUCAUAUAGCUCAUGUAAUUAACACUGUACUGUAACUAUCUUGACAUGCCUACUGAAUGAAUCUCUUUUGGCCCUCAUUUUUCUUUUUUUACCAGUUGUACCCAGGAACGGUGUAGAAUCCGCAGCAGUACAUAACUUGUGAACUCUAGGCCAUAUAUCUAGUUGGAUUUGGUUUUAUCGUAUCAUGUGAAAUCUCUGAUGCAGUUUUGGUCUAUGUUUAGAAUUAUUCAGCUCAUGGACCGGUUAGUGUUCUCUUUGCAAUUCUUUUUAGCUUCGGCAAUUAACUUGUUCUGUUGUGAUGUGAUCCGUUUAUUAUGUCUCCUGUACCAAGAUUUGGAUGCAUGGAAGAGUGCAGAAAGAGGUGUUAAGAGUGUGGAAAUUCAGAGGUUACAUUUCGAGUCAGUGAAGGUCAACAAAUCAAUAACACUACAUUCACUUGACGCUUGUUUUAUAGCUUGAUAAAAUCUGAACAUCCACAUUACCCCCCAUUGCAAAAGAUACUAAAACCGAUAACAAAACUUGAAACAACCAUGCAUAUUCGCCGUUCGUCCCAAAGAACCCUUUACUUGCCCAGAACCCACCAUUCGACGGCGCGCCGGUACGGGUACCCCAACCUCUGCGCGAAGGUCGGCUCACGCUCACCUCUGCUGCGACGGAGACACUCUUCCUCGGUCGAAUUGUUCGGUCCGAACGUGGCGCCUCCACGGGAGAGCAUGUUGGCCCUCUCGGCGUUCUUGCAAUGGCGCUUGAACUCCCUGUACCGCAUCGUCUUCUCCUCCUCGCUCUUGUACUUCUGGUCAUACUCAACCAUCCAAUCCUCGAACCUCGCCUUCAUGGCCGCCUCCUUCACCAGGUCCCGCUCCUCGGCGAUCACCUCCUCGAGCGUCGCCUCGUUCUCGUCGGUCAGCUCCCAACCUGUGAGCAAGACAGAAUUCAUAUGGUCAUAUGAUCAUGUAACAUUUGACAAGGAGUUGAAGGAGAAGGGAGUAAAUUGCACGAAACCACCAUUUUAAAGGCUAGGUUUGCAAAAAACACUACGUUACAAUUCUAUUGCAGAAAACACCACGUCUUGUGUAAUCAUUUUGCAAAAAACCACUGAUCGACGGAUUAGGCUUGUUUGAGCGAGUUUAUGACAAGUGGGUCCACUUUUCGCUGAUGUGGCAUAACGUUUCGUGCUAGAUAGGUUUUAGCAUGAAUUUACAAACCAGUCCCUAGAGUUUUACAUAGACCCUCCUAAAACAAAAAGAAAAAAGCAAUCAGCCCUCCACGUGCAUAAAACAUGUAGCUGGCUUGGGGCGGCGGCGCCCAGGCUCUCCGUGCGGCCCAAGCUCUCGUUGCUAGCUUGGGGCAGUGGCGAGGUCUUGCAGGCGCGGCGGCGCUGCUCCUGCGACUUGGCAGGUGGCCGAGGUCGAAGGCAAGGCGGGUGAUGGAUGGAUCCGGAGGUGGGAUUCCAGCUCCGGCGAUAGCACAUCGGAAGGGAGGCCAGCGACGGGGCUACUCGUCAUGCGGCAGCGGCGGGGUGCUCCUAGUGAAGAAAAGAGAGAGGGGCAGAGAAUUAGGGCGGGAGAGAGACAAUAGGAAGGAGAAGGGAAGGAGGGGGCGACAGGCGCCUGGCUUGGAACUAGGUUGGGGUGGUCCGGCGAGGCAGGGAGCUCGAGCUCCUGGAGGCGCACGGGAGCAGCGGCGCUCGGGCACGAGGCCCUGGUCUUCAGGAGGAGAGGCCGCGUGGUCGUGCGUGCUCGGGGAGCCCCUCGAGCUCGAGAGGAGGCUGGAGUCUCGGUGUUCAUGGGCACAGGGCUGCGGUGGAGGCGGAUGUCGGCGGAUCCGGCGGUGGAGGCGGUGAGCUUCAUCAUGACGCGGUUGGAGGGCCUGGGGGCAGCAGGAAGAAGGUUGGGGGCUUUUUUGAUUUAAAACCCAUCUAACGCCGUCUUUCCCAAACCGUUAUGCCAUGUCAGCAAAAAAUGGGGCUCACCUGUCAUAAACACGCUCAAACGAGCGCAAUCCGUCCAUCAGUGGUUUUUGCAAAAUGAUUACACACGAUACGGUGUUUUCUGCAAUAGAACUGUAACGUAGUGUUUUUCGCAAAUCUAGCCUUUAAAAUGGUGGUUUCGUGUAAUUUACUCAGGAGAAGGACACUGAGGUCCGGUUGUUUGCUACCUGAAGAUGAAGAUGAAGAUGUCGGUUGCUUUCUGUGUUUUUGUUUUCUGAGAUACAGCUUUGCUCCGAUCAAGGUGGCAGAUAAGGCCCCCACCGCCGCAACGCUAGCACGCAGCUUGUUGCUGCCUCCCAUCGGCAAACUGCAGAGAUUGUCAAUAACUUGUUUAAAAUCAGGAAGCAAGAUCAGAACUAAUGGUAGGACUACAUUGCUUUAUUUCUCUCGCACUGUGUCUCUGACAGCUUUCAAGCAAUAAUUCGUCGCAUCAAAAUCUAGUACGGAAUAUCAAACUGGACAAGGACUAGGUCGAGAACGGAGAACAUCCAAUCUGUUGUCGGUCAAUAAGAUUAAUUUGGGGCGAAAGUAGAAUUGGAUCUUGAUUCUACAUGGGCAUGGUGACGAACAAUGUCCAUGUAUGUGAGGUGCCUACGUACCGGGCAGAGAAGCCAGAUCCCCCGGCGCCGUCCGCACGGCUCCUCUGCAGAUCGAGGAGGGAACAGGAUCAGCCGGCCACGCGGGCGCAGAUGCGGGGGGAGACAGCUAGAGAGAAGAAGAAGACGACGGCGGCGUACGGAGUGGUGGAGGAGCCGCCUCGCUGACUCUCCAGCGCGGAUCCGGCGUGAGGACAGCCUCCCCGCGGCGAGGAAUCGAAGCGGCGACAUGUCUGCACCACGCUCCGAUGUCGCUCCCCGUCCGCCCGGUGUUCGAGCUAGGGCUGUCCUUACGAGGGGGAAAAAAAAUACAUGGACCCUAAAUGGACCCAUCAUUGUUUGGCAGCACGACCUGAAGGGAAAGAGAUGCCCAAAGGCCCAAGACAGGCCCACGCGGCGAGCUGACGGCGUUCCUUCCGGAGUCGUGCCACUGCCUCCCCGCUCGCCGCCCCUCGCUCCAGCCGCCGCAGCGCUCUCCCCUUGGCCCCCAGCUCCCCCGCCGCGCCCGCCUACGAGGUUCCGCAGGAUGGGCGGCGGGAGGAAGCGGCGGCGGCGCGACGGCCCGGACGCGCCGCCGGUGAUGCACCCGCGCAACCGCUACGCCGCCGCGGCGCCGGACUUCGCGGCGCUGGCGUCGCUCUACCCCUCCUUCGCCCCCUUCGUCACCGUGUCCGGCGGGGGCCGCGCGUCCGUCGACUUCACCGACUUCGCCGCCACGCGGGAGCUCACGCGCGUCCUCCUCCUCCACGACCACGGCGUCAACUGGUCCGUGCAGCCUGCUCCUCCUCCUCCCGCCCCCUCCCCCUCAACCCUAAGAUGCAUUCCGCGCUGCUCCAUUCCCGAUUGUUCCUGUUCGGCUGAGCUGCUUAUCUCUUUGCUGUUGUGCUGGUGGAGGAUUGCAAGGGCGCUCCUGAAUUCAGCUAAUUGCGGCAUCAAACUCACCUGCAAUCUGACAUACCUGUUGUCUUAUGAGUUGCUCAUGUUGCUCUUGGGAUGGAAGUUCUGAAGUGACUUCAGGGCUUGGAGCUUAUCAGGGUUUUUGUGUGCAUAUUAGUGCUGUAUGUCAAGACAACAUUUCGUAAUCCCCAAGAGAUCAUUUGAUUUAUCUUGCUGCGGUGCUUGCAUAGUAAUAACAGUAAACACAUAACGAAGCCCUUUUGUUGGAACAAAAAUCUGCCGAAAAGGAUCUUCAAAGUAAGUAUAUGCUGCUCAUUGCAUUAUUGUUCAGCUUCAUGAGCACUUCCACCGGGAACUUCUGCAGAGAGAGUAGUCCAUGUAAAGAAUGGUGCUCAGCGUGCACAUCAUAUGCCAUAACUAGAUGUCUUUAUUCUUACUUUGGUCUCGCUAUACAACAGGUCGUAUUUUCGUGGCGCUGCGCCAAAUCGAUCCACUUAUCAUUUCUGUUAAGACAUUUCAGUAAAUAAUCACAUGUUGUUUUCAUGUUUGAAUUGUUUGCUGCAUCAAAUUUGUAUAACUAAAGUUCAAAUAGAAUUACUGUUUAGCACAACUGGCAGCUCCCACUUUUGCUAACAAUAAGAAUCACUUGAUUUUCAAAAAAAUGUUGAAGCUUAUAGUCCGUGCACACUAUGUCCUCAUAUGUUCUAUUUUUGAAACACUCAUGUGUUCUUUUCUAAUUAUCACACACUAUGGUUAGUGGGCAAUAUCACAUUUUAAUAUGUUCGCAUGAUAUAUAUCGUUCCUACUGUCAGGUGGAUUCCGGAUGGACAGCUUUGCCCUACUGUUCCAAACAGAUCCAACUACAUCCAUUGGAUUGAGGAUCUUCUCUCUUCUGAUCUCAUACCACUAAUGUCCAACUCAAGUGAGACAGUGAGGGGUUUUGACAUAGGCACCGGUGCCAAUUGCAUCUACCCUCUCCUUGGAGCAUCGUUACUGGGCUGGAGCUUUGUUGGAUCUGGUAUGCUUUUAUCCUGUGUGCUAGAAGUUCCAUGAAGCAUAAUCUAGGAAUCCCUUAGUGACCUACUUAGCUAAAUUAAAUGGAUCCAUGCUCAGUUGGAUUUUUGCUUGUAGAUGUGACUGAUGUUGCACUUGAAUGGGCUAAGAGGAAUGUGGAGAGCAACCCACAUCUAGCAGGUCUAAUUGAAAUCAGAAACGCAAAUGAAGCACCCUGCUCUUCGAAGUCUGAAACAGUUGCUGAGGAAGCAGUCAGUGAGAACAUUCCAGAGCCAGUGGACAGUGUGGUGAGGGCAAUAGCACCUAUUUUUGUGGGUGUUGUGAAGGAUAGUGAGAACUUUGACUUCUGUAUGUGCAAUCCACCAUUCUUUGAGAGUAUGGAGGAAGCUGGCCUUAACCCAAAAACUUCUUGUGCUGGAACUGCUGAAGAGAUGGCUUGCCCUGGUGGCGAGCAAGCCUUUAUAACACAUAUAAUUGAAGACAGUGUUUCUUUUAAGAACUCUUUCAGGUGAUUCAUAUCUGAUGUUACAGCGGCCAUAGUAUUAUGUCAUUUUUUUUCUGUUGUUCAUGAUUUAUUUGAAAUUUUAUAGGUGGUUUACGUCGAUGGUUGGCAGAAAAGCAAAUCUAAAACUAUUAGCAUCCAAAGUCCGUGAAGCUGGGGCCUCAGUUGUGAAAACUACUGAGUUCGUGCAAGGACAAACAGCGAGAUGGGGCCUUGCAUGGUCGUUCAUUGCUCCGAGAAAAAAUGUUAUAAGAUCCAGUACACCAGGAAAAGUCCACCAUUCUUUCAUGCUUCAGGUGGGCAUCAUGUCACCUUCCUUGAUCAUGCACCUUUGUCGCUUAUAGCUCCUAAGUGCAGUUUGCUAUAACUUUGGUUUUAGUGGUCUCUGUCAUAAAGGUUACUGUUCUCCAAUGAGAUACUUCAUCUUUGAGACAACUAUCUUCUCUAGUUCUCAUGAGUGUGAUCUCUACAUCACAGAUAGCAUUAAUUCGUGUGCCUUAAAUGUUACUCCCUCCGUCCCAAAAUAAGUGACUCAACUUUACACUAACUUUGUACUAAAGCUAGUACAAAGUUGAGUCACUUAUUU